UACACUUUCGAGAUUAGAACAAUUAUCUAAACAUAAAUAACUGAGCUUGGUGAGGAAUAUCGAGGAGUGAACUUCAAUCAACUUUUCACAAGAACUCAGAAUUAUUUCUUCAAUAUUUGGUGACAUAGAAAGGUCUGGUAUUCUAGUAAGUUUCAGAGAACCAGUCAGGUCGACCCUUUUCAACUUGGGUAAAUUCUGCCACAAAUACUAAAUGAAUGAGGUAACAAAUAAAAACUACUUUAUCUAUUUUUCUUCGGUAAACUAAUUUAUUUUUCAGAAAUGAUGAAAAUUAUAACUAAACUAUAUAAAAUUCCAUUUUAUUCUACUCAUCCUUAAUUUUUUUGUGAAAUCUUGAUUUUGGGAUAAUAUCACUUAAACUUAAGAAAUAUUUGGCAUUAAUGAACUCUAAACAAAUUCAUAUAAGAUAUACAUCACUUUCAAUCCAAAAUCUUAAACUAAUAGGUUUAUGAAUUUUCUUUAUAUGUUGUUUUAAAAAGUUGAGACUAAAUUGAACUUUUGAAAAUUGGGAGGAUGAAAUUAUAUUUUGUCUAUUAAUAUAGGGAUUAAAAAAAUAAUUGAAUCAAAUAUUACUAUUUUUGUGAUGUAUAUUUAUAUAUAAAUAAUUUUGAGAAUUUAGAGUUAUAUCAUAUAUAUAUAUAUAUAUAAAAUUCUUUUUGGUAAUGUAUCCUGUAAUUGUAAGCAAGUAUGAUUAUAUUAAGUGGGUGCGUUUCAAAUAGAGGAGACUACGCACAUACAAAUAUCUCUUAUAAAGUAAGAAAACAAACAAACCGUUACUCAAGAAGAUCAUGUAAUGCAUGACAGACAACAUGGGGAGAUAUCUAUCAUCAAUAAUAAAACGAUGUUUUCUGAGAGUUAAAAUUAAACCUUAUUUAAAAUAAGUCCAUCUUUCCAUAUUUUAUAAUUUGUUGUAUAUUAUAUUGAAGUUUAUGUUAUAAUAAAAAAAAUGACUUAAUUAAUCAAAUAAUGUGGAGAAGGCACAAAGGAAUUGCAAAUGAAAACCAGUAGAUGUAUAAUACAGAAAACAUGCUUGUAUAACUUAUUUUUGUCUUUGAAAGUUUAGAACACAAAGAAACAUAGAUAGCUUGAAAAACCUGAUCUCCUUCCCAAAGUUGUUCAAGAUUGCAGCCUGGCAUUUUGAGGGUCACUAGACUUUGUGGGCAAAAGUUUGGAGGCCAAAAUCUUUGAAGGAAAUUGUCCCAAUAAAGAAUCUUUAAAGUGUCCGGCAGAUCUACAAGAGAUGAUUCAAGAGACUCAUAAGAUUGUCCAUCUUUUCGAAACUUUGUGCAUGUACUACAGCAUCUUUUACUUUGUUCGUAUGUAGUAAUAUACACUGUAUUGCAUCUGACCCCUGAAAGUAAAUCAAUGUAAUUAGAAGAAAAAAACAUGAAAUGUUGCAUUGCAGGAUGUUUGAUGACAGCUCAGUGGUUUGCAAUUUUUCACAAAGUAAAUCCAUGUUCAAUUGAGUAACGACAUAAUACCUUGUUCUUUCUUAAAACCUCUCAAAUUUCCUCAGCAUUAAACAAUCGGCUGCGUUUUCCAGGAUGCUGAGGACACUCUUUACGAACAAUUUCUUGACUCAUUUCUUGUAUUAGAUCGUGCAUCACAAUUCUACCAUCAAAGACAGAUAUUAGGCCCCUAUCUUUGAGAAUAUCCAUUCCAAUCUUAGAAGAGAAACCACAGUCAGCAAGUGUUUCUGCUACCACAAUCUCCUGGCGUCCUCUAUAAAAGCAAGCUAUGUCAAGAAAUAUAUUCUUCUCCUCCUCCUCCAGCCCAUCAUAACUUAAUUUUAAUACAUUGAAAAUAUCAAGAUGUUGGCCCUUUUCCAACUUUUGCAACUGACUCUCCCAUGCUUCUCUUGUUCUGCCAUAAAGCAAUGACCCCAAAAUCUAGAGAGCUAAUGGAAUCCCUUUUGCAUAUCUCAACACCUUUUCUGACAGUUCCCUGUAAGCAAUUUCUUCUGAAGAUUUUUGUUUAAAAGCAAGUAAACUAAAAAGUUUCUGAGAAUCAUCAAAAUUCAACUCCUUAACUUCGUAGAUAUCAUCAGCUCUAGCAUUCUUAAGCACUUGUUUGUCUCUACUGGUGAUAAUCAUUCUACUGCCCUGCCCAAAACUAUCACUCCCUCCUAUUAAUUUUUUAAGUAGAGCUGAAUCGGUAACAUCAUCAAGAAUGAGGAGAGCCUUUGUCCGUUUCAGCCUUUCAUUGUAAUAUGAUAAACCAUGGGAUUUCUUUAUCUCUUCCUUUAGAAGCUCAGACAGAUAUUUUGUUCUGAUACUGUCUAUUCCAUCUUUUUGUAUUUUUUCUUGAACGUCUAAAACAAGGCUGCUGGAACCAAACUGCAAAGCCAAUGUGUGAUAUAUUUGAUAACAAAUUGUAGUUUUUCCUAUUCCUCCCAUGCCACAAAUUCCUAUGAUCCGAACAUGCGGUGACUCAAGAUGCAACAAGGACUGAAUUCCUUCAAUGUGUUUUUCAAUGCCGAUGAUUCCUUGAUCAUAACUGGUGGAAUAACGAUUCAAUUUUCUCAAAAUAUCUUCCACAAUUUCUUCAACAAGUGUGUGUUCUGGCCUGGCAGAUGAUUUAGAAAAUAAAGUAUAAGUAUUCAAGCACAAAAGCUAAACUAAACUAAAGAAAAAAUCAGAGUUAAGAGGAGUGAACAUCAUUGAAUAGAUUCACAUAUCGAUUCUAGUUUCGAGUUUUGGAUAAAAUAAAUAAAUUAAAAAGUUGAAGGUAAGUAUAGGACGUUAUCUUCGUAUAUUAGUUUGGUUGGUUUAGAAAUUGCAAAUCAAGAUGGCAAAAAUACUACAGUAACCGUUUGUGACUUCUGAUAAUAGGGAGCAGAUUUGUAGGUACAAAGUUAAGCUAUAACAUGUGAUAUGGUUCAGAUCCAUGACCGACUAAAAGAAAGACUUGAUUUAUGGUGAGAUGAACACAAUUUUAGUAAAUGAAAAGAAAUCCUGUUUAUCUCGAAAUUAUCUAAUAAAUAUAAUGACCUGGUGACUUUUGAAUCCCAGCCUGAAAGUCCAGCAGCUUCGGUGAGAGCAUCCUUCCAUCCUUGCGCUUUGACCAUGUCGUGCAUAAACCGCUGUUCAUGAUCAUCGAAUGAUUCUUUGUAUCUUUCUUCCUGCUUCCUAAUAGUUGAUGGAUCCACCUUGUAGAAAACAGGUAUCACAUCCCUUCCAAAUCUCUUCUUGCAUUCAAGUAUCUUACUGAGUUCAUUCAAGCACCAAGUGGAAGAUGCAUAGUUUUGGGAGAAAACGAUGACAUAAAUCUUUGAUUCUUCUAUUGCAGAGAGCAGUGCAGGUGAAAUUUCUUCGCCCCUGAGUAGUCUAUAAUCAAUAUAUGCUUCAAUGUUCUUCCUUUGCAGUGCUGCAUAAAGGUGGCUAAUGAAGUUGUCACGUGUGUCUUCGCCUCUGAAGCUGAGAAACACAUCAUGCCUUGUUAGAGAAGUAGACACGGCCAAUGAUGAAGGACUUUCUGACAUUGGAGUCAAUUUUCUCUCCUUUCUCUGCAAUUCUCAGGUCUCUUUCUUUGUACUGUUUCUACCACAAAUCUACUCUGCUGCUCUGGACUCAUUAUAAAACACAAGUCAACUUUUGAAAAAGUCUUUCAAUUUUCUUAACAUUCCUUUCACAGAUAUGUGUUCUGGUCAGACAUCGUAGUCAGCAGAAACUAAAGAAAAAGAAAAAUAUUAAUUUAAUAGAAUAGUCAACAAAUUGCAAAAUAAGUAUGGAAUCUAGAUUUAUAUCAUUAUCACGUGUGGAAACAUAGCUACGUCUUCUUAGAUAAAAUCCUUAUUUAAGUUUUAAUUGGGCCUUGUAGUGGGCUUUGUAAUCUGCUUUUCUUUUCUCCUAUAUUGCUUUAUAUAUACACCUCCACUUUUGCUUUCUACAUUUCAUUUUACAAAAUACAUUCUCUCAUUCUGUGUCAUUUAUCUUGCCUGAUUCCGUCCUCUCUUUAUCUUUUUCUCUCAUCCUCUUGCUUAUAAUUCUUUUGUUUUUAUUAAGAAAUACACUAUAAUUCUAAUUUAAUCAUAUACUAUAAUUAUGCUAAUCAUCAAUUAGUACUAUAUAUUAUUAAUGAUCUGCGUAUAUAUUAUUUAUGAUUUGCGGAUAAGACAAUAGAUUCAAUAAAUUCUAGAUAAAAUAAAUUUUAAAUGAAUAUGAUAAAAAUAUAUUAAAAAAUGAACUUUAUUGAAUCGAUUGAGUAUCUCUAUUUUAAAGACUUGUAAGAAUAAUAGGAAUAACAAUAUAUUAAUAUUAAUAUGUUUCUUAAUAAAUUUCAUACCCACUAUCUAUUUAUAAAUUAAUAUAUUAUAAAUAUCUAAUGAUGUCUUAUUUCUCUAACAUUUAAAAUUAAAUUUGUAGAUUCUACAAAACAUUACAUUUUGAUUUUAAUAUUUAUAAAAUAUUUUUUAUUCUCAUAUUUAAAAAACAAAACUUAGUUUGAGUGUAUUCCUUAGUUACUUACUACUCAUCACCAGCCGCCAACAGCGUGAUGGCUUCACUCUCCGUUCGCGCCACAACCACCUCUUAUCGGGCCUCCUUCCGGCCCAAGCCCACCUCGGGGCCCACCAGGGUCCGAAUGUCCCUCCGCGAUGACGGCCCCGCCAUCGCCGUCGUCGGCGUCACCGGCGCCGUUGGCGAGGAGUUCCUCUCCGACCGCGACUUCCCCUACCGUUCCAUCAAAAUGCUGGCCUCGCAGCUCUCCGCCGGCCGCCGCAUCAUCUUCGAGGACAGGGACUACGUCGUGGAGGAGCUCACAGCGGAUAGCUUCGACGGCGUCGACAUUGCGCUCUUUAGCGCCGGCGGUGGUAGACUAUAGCUCCGCAUUUGGGAUGGACGAGAAGGUGACGCUGGUUAUUCCCGAAGUGAAGCCCCAAACGAUGCAACACAUCAAAGUUGGAACGGGAAAAGGCGCUCUGAUUGCGAACCCUAAUUGCUCCACCAUUAUUUGCUUGAUGGACAUACUAAUUAAUAUCAAUUAUAACAAAUAAUGAACGUUUCUGGUCAUUUCUUGUACUUCGCGUUAUUUCAUAACAGUAGUUUUUUUAAAUAAAUUAAGAAAAAUAUUCAUUUUUAAAUUUAAUGCACUUUUAAAUAAUUUGACUAUUAUAAACAUAAUCACUUAUAAAAAUAAUUUUAGAGUAGUUGAUAUAAUUAAAAUAAAAUAUUUUAUUAUUAAAGUAAAAAUUAUAUAUAAAUAAAAAAUAGGUUUUAUUUUAAAAUAAUAUUCAAUUUUAUAAAAGUUUUUUCUUUUUGUCUUUUUUUUUUUAUAUUUCUAACCAUAUUUUUUCGUGAGGUUGAUAAUAGAAUCUCACUUUGGAUUUAUGGGAAUGAAUAAUGAAUUAGUUUUUAGUUUUCUAUUUAUCUAUAUAUAAAGGUGAUACGGUGACAAAUUCCAAAAUUUUAUUAUAAUGUUUGCUUUGUUGAUUGAAAUAGAUGUUAAUUGAUGAAAAAGAUUGAAAGUUUUAAACCCAAUACACCCCUCACGUCGAGGUUAGGUGGACUGAUAAGUUCAGCAAAAUCUCGUUAUGAUAGUUUUUAGAUGACUCUGAUACCACAAUAAAAAAUAAACUUUAAAUUUAACUCAACCUUACAAAACUAAUUUAUAAAGUGAGCUAUGUAUCCCUAGUCGAUGUAGAAUCUCUAACAAUGAUUUAAAUGAAUUGUUAUAUGCUUUAUGAAGUUUAACCUUUAUUUUUACUUGACAAAUUGGAUUUUAAUGAGGUAUAUAUGCUCUCAGCAUCAAAUCCGCUUAACGAAAUUUAUAUGUGUCAAGCGAAUUUGGACAUGUAGAGUUUGAUGUGCUCUUGGCCUCAAAUCCGCUCAAUGUUUUUUUUUCCUGUACUUAAGCAAACUUACAUCCAGAUUUUGGAGUACUUUCGAACUCAAAUUUGCUCAAAGAAAUUUUCUUAUGGUAAGCAAAUUUAAGCGGCUAUUGUUUGGAUGUUCUCUGCCUCAAAUUCGUUCAGUGAAAUUUUCCUGUGCUAAGGAGAUUUCUCUGGGCUUAAGCCCCAACUUCAUGGGCUCGACCCAUUUUGACGACAUUUGUCAUCUUUGCUUAGAUAUCUUUUGGUUUGUUUUCUAUAGGUCAUGAAAUUGAAUUAAAUCUUUUGAAAUUUAUCAUUUUGUAAAUUGUAAGUGAUUACAACUUUCUAAUGUUCAUGCAACAUGUGUUUAAAAUAAGUAAAUCUAACAAAUAAAUACUCGUUACAUAUUCAAUGGAAAGCUUUUUCUUUUAAUUCUUUGGUGUUUUAUUUUGAUGAUGUAUAUAUUUGAAAAUCAAUGUAUGAAUGGAUAAUGCUUUAUGAUAUAAUAAUAUUACAAUGUAAAUGUUAUUUAUAUACUAUCACAUGAUAAAUUAAAAUUUAAUAAGAUAGUUAAGGAUGUUAUAAUUAUUCUUUUAAUUUAUUUUAUUUCACUGUAUAUUUAGGUGUAUUACGUAGAAUGUAUAGUUAAAAAAAUAAUGUUAUUUUGAAAUUUAAAGAAUGACGUAUAGAAAUAAACAAGCUUUUGUUAAAAUUAUACUAUUUGAAAAGGAACACAGAACAAUAUUGACAAUUAUACUUUUACUUAUUACUUAUUUUAAUUUAUUAUAUUCAUGAGUAUUAUUUUUUUUAAACAUAGAUAUUGGAUAAAAAAUAUAAAUAACAUUUAUUUAUUUCAAAUUUAAAAAUCUUUAAAAUAAAAUUAAAUAAUAUUUUUAAUUAAGAUGUGUUUUUUAACAAUUUUUUUAAUUUAAAAAAUAAUUAAUUCGGAGGAUGAUUAAAGAAAUAUUAACAAAUUAUUUCUGCGUUUAUAAUAAACCUUCAAUAAUAUUUGUACUUUCUAGCAUAUAGAAUACUUAAUGGAUCCCUUUGUGAUUUUUCUUUUCUAAAGUGCAAUUGAUAUUUUAAAUGUUUUUCUAUUUAAUUUUCCUUUCUUAAUGACACAUUAAAGGGUUCAGUGCACGAUUAAUUAUUCUCACCUUAGAUUUCAUUCAUCUCAUUCCAUUUCCACACUCAAAUCAUUCUCACAUUUUUUUCUACCUAUUUCACAAAGUUUUAUGUAAAAUAUGGAAAUUAAACUAAAAGAACCCUACUUAUAUAUUAAUAUUCAACAACUUAAAAUAUUACUAUGCAAAUUAAUCUUUCUUAAUAAUGUUAUGUAAAAAUUAAAAUGUAGUUUAGUCAUUCAUACUUAGAUGGAUAAAGAUGGUUUUAGAAAAAAAAUGCAUUUUAUUUCAAAUCUAUUACUUAUAAAAUGAGUUAUAAAAUGAGGUUUGUGAUAUUUAUUCAAAAUUUAAAUUAUAUUAUGCAUUUAUGGUUUUAUGUUUUUAAAGAAAUCAGAAACUUAGAAAAGCUCCUAAAAACUACUGAAAUCCAUAAGAUGAUAAUUAAUAAACAUCCUCUCUUAAUAACAUAACAUAUAAGAUAGGAGUCUUUACACUUAUAUUCUUCAAACAAUUAUAAGCUGUCUUCAACUUUACUGUUAAACUACAAUUAUAAAGAAUUAACAAUCUCACACACCAACAACAUUUAUAAGCCAUCACUCACAUGAAACAAGGUGCCUCAAUGUGAAAAAACCAAGAUCAAUAAGAAAUGAGGUUCCACUUAACCAAGCUGAGAAUUUUCUGGUUUUCCAACUCCAUGCACAAACCUAAUACAAUGAUAUGAUAUUCAAUCAGCAUUAAUUGGCAUAAACAGGUACAUUGUUGUAAAACUGGGAUUAUAAGGUUCCAUAGGAUGGAGAAAAGUAAGAAGAGGAUUUACCAAUUACCCUUUCAAAUGGAGCUCCUCAGGAUUUCAUAAUGCCUUCACUGCAAAUGCAACCCAAAUAUGCUAAAAAAGUUAAUGAAACUAUAUAUGAAGAGUUUCAAGAAAAUGCAACUCUGGGACAACAGAGAAACCCAUCUCAUGCUGAACAGAAACAUCAAACUAUAUCUAACAAUAACUUAGAAAUCUUUGUCAACAAUUGAACGAACCCACUCCUAAAAUGCCAUUGAAAAUGUAAAUAAAACAAAAUAAAUUAAAAACGAGAAAUUCAUAAUAAAAAUUCAACGUGUUGAAACUUAUGAUAACUCAGUUUAGAUCCUGACCAAUGAAAGACUAAUUAGCAGAAGAGGAAGAGACUAGUUGACAGGGUAGCUUUCGGCCUUUCUCUUCCUAUCUUUCCUUGUUUCUCUUGAAGACUGUGCAACAUUGCUUCCACUGGAUUCUUCAAUGUCAACAUCACCACCAUAUUUAUCAUCUUUCUUUUUGGUAUAAAGGGGGCAUAUGCCGCAUUCUUUUAUUGUGAUGUCUGAUGCCAUCACUCUCACACCUGAUUUGUAACUAUACAGACUGAUCUCAAAAGUGAAGCUGCGAGCAUCACAGACCCUAAGGCUCUUGCGGCUCGCCGUUAGGGACUCCAUGUUAAAUUUCCACACGAAUGUGUGAUCUUCAUCAACACAUCUGUGUUCACCAUUCCAUUUGAAAUAGCUGUUUAACACAUCAUUAUUUAGAAUGAUCUGUGUGCCAUCAUCAUCAUCAGAUUCAAAUUUUAGACUGUAACCAAAAGAACCAUAUCUACAUUUAACAGCUUUCGUAUCUAACACUCCAAAAACCACACACAAAGCGAAACCAGUGAGCCUAUCAUCGCUGCAGAAACUUAAAUCUUCAUUUAUAGUCACUGAAUGUCCCUUCCCACGAGAAUGGAACCAACGAGGAACUGCAUUCCCUGGAAAACAGAAGAACACAGACCUAUAUGCAUCGUCGGUCAUCCUAACCCAUGCAUCCUCCUCAAUGUUAGCACGAGCACCUGAAUCCAGUUGCUGAGCAUUGGUGAAAUGAAAUUUGAAGACACCCUCUUUGGAGUUUGAGAAGUUUGGAACAAGAGAAUUUGACAUCACUCUUCUGAUGGAUGGGCAAUCCAAUGCCACGAGUUGUUUUAGAAAUGGUGGAAUCUGUGGGAUGGAUUCAAGUUUUUUGCAGUCGCUUAAAUCGAGCGAGUUCAAGCUUGAAAGAUGAGCAAUGCUCUCAGGAAGGUUCACGAUUCCGCUAUCACGCAGUGACAGUUCCAUUAAUGACGUCAAGCGACCGAUGUGGCUUGGGAUUUCUGUUAAUUUGGCACACCCCGAACAAUCAAGUUUAGAGAGAAGCUUCAGAUUAACAAUGGAGUUUGGAAGUGACUCGAGAUGAAUGCACUCUUGGAGUUCCAGGGAUCGAAGAUUAACGAAAUUGCCAAAUGAGGAAGGCAGUUCUUUAACAGCCGUAGAUGUUAAGUUAAUGUGAGCAAAAGUAUGAGCCGGCUCCGCGAUCUCUGGGAAGGUCCUCAGCCUUGAGCAACCACGCAAAUCAAGGUUCCUCAACUUCAAAUUGAAAAUGGUGCUUGGAAAAGUUUGAAGUGAAUUACAGUGGGUAAGGUCUAACUUGCAUAGUCUGGUGAGGGUUCCAAUGGAAGAUGGAAUAAUCUCAAGAUUCAAGCAACUGCGCAAACUCAGUCCUUGAAGCCCUACCAAACGGCACAAGGAUGAAGGUAGUGCCUGUAUGGCUGUGCCGUCUAAGAUGAGCACCACUAGAUCUUCCAACGUGUCCUGAAUCUCGGGUAAAUUUUCCAAUUUUGAGCAACCACUGAGAGAAAGUUUCUUUAUGAAUUUCAUAUCAGAAAGGUGAAAUGGAAAGAUUGUAAGGGAAGAACAGUGAGAGAGAUCUAAGUAACAGAGCUUCUUGCGAUUAAAGUUGAAGUGACAGAGCUUCAUGAGUUUUGUGAACACUUUAAAACAUAUAGUAUCAUUAGCCACUUCUUCUUCCUUAUAUCUGUCAAAAGUAAUUGAGAAAAUUUCACUGGAAGUUGGGAAAAAAGGACCACGGUGUCGACGUUUACCACGCCGUCCUGAGAAAUUCGUCAUAUCCGGUUCCUGACGAGGGAAUAUUGAGAAAGUUUGAAGUUGACGCUCCAGUAUCACAUGAGGGAAUCUGGGUUUACUGAUCGAAAACAUAUUAAGCUUCGGACAACGGGAAAGAGUAAUCCAUCCUGGUGAUGUGGAUAAAAUGUUGCUGGGAAUAUUUACACUAUUCAGAUCAUUACAAUCAUCUAAACAUAAACAACUGAGCUUGUUGAGGAAUAUCCAAGAGUGAACUUCAAUCAACUUUUCACAACUUUUCAGAAUUAUUUCUUCAAUAUUUGGUGACAUAGAAAGGUCUGGUAUUCUAGUAAGUUUCCGAGAAUAACUCAGGUCGAGCCUUUUCAAGUUGGGUAAAUUCUGCCACAAAUAGGAAAUGAAUGAGGUAACAAAUAAAAACUACUUUAUCUAUUUUUCUUCGGUAAAAUAUUAGCUACAUCAUCUAAUCUAUUCACUUUAUAUUUUACAUUACUUCAAAACCACUGUUAAAAAAAAUCACACUGUCAACUAACAAAACUGUGGCUAUAAAUUUAAUAGUUAUUAUAAAAAACCACAAAAUUUAACGUGUUUUUGUUCCCUACCUCAAAUUACAUCCUAAUAAUUUGAACCUAAACUUAUUAUGUAUUUAAAAACUGAUGAUAGUAAUUUAUAAUCGAUGACAGUGUGGAAAUACUUUAUAUCAUGCAUGUAUCAACUGACAAAAUAAAAUGGUGUUGUCUGAUGAUAGUAAUUUAUAAUCGAUGACCAUCUUUCCAUAAUUUAUUUUAUUAAAUACAUAAUUUGUUGUAUAUUAUAUUGAAGUUUAUGUUAUAAUAAUAAAAAAAUACUUAAUUAGGUUUUGAGUAUCCAGUAAGACAUUUUUAAUUAAUUUUUUUAUUAAAUUUUUUAAUUAUUUAAGUACUCAAAUUUUUUAUAUUUCCAAUAGAAUAUAUGUCAUUUUUAAUUUUUGAGUUAAUUGGGUGAUACAGAAAUUAUCUUGUCACAUGAUCUUACUUACUUGUCUUUAUGUAUUAAGGAAUAUGAAGUUUUAUGAUUGGCCAUUAGACUAUAUACCUAAAAAGAGGAUGCAAACUCUUCUACAUGCUACUAAAUUUAUAACUAUCUUUAAUUAGAAACAUGCUGAGUAUGAUUCUUAUGAUAUAUGUAUAACUGUGUGGUUCAAAUAAAAGAAAUUUCAAAUCGAAUAAUGUGGAGAAGCACAAAGGAAUUGCAAAUGAAAACCAGUAGAUGUAUAAUACAGAAAACAUGCUUGUAUAACUUAUUUUUGUCUUUGAAAGUUUAGAACACAAAGAAACAUAGAUAGCUUGAAAAACCUGAUCUCCUUCCCAGAGUUGUUCAAGAUGGCAGUAUGGCAUUUCGAGGGUCACUAGAUUUUGCGGGCAAAAGUUUGGAGGCAAAGAUCUUUGAGGGAAAUGUUUCCAAUAAAGAAUCUUUAGAGUGUCUGGCAGACCUACAAUAGAUGAUUCAAGAGACACAUUUGACGUGUAUUUUGGCGUGUUGAGCAUAAGCAUCCUAAGAUUGUCCAUCUUUUCGAAACUUUGUGCAUGUACUACAACUUCAUUUACUUUGCUCGUAUCUAGUGAUAUACACUGUAUUGCAUCUAACCCCUGAAAGUAAAUCAAUGUAAUUAGAAAAAAAAAGCAUGAAAUGUUGCUGUAUGGUUAUGGGCAGAUUGAUGAGAUAUGGUAACCUUCGGAUACUGAUCAUGAAGUGACAUAAAGGAGAAGGAAGCGUUACUGAAGGAGAGUAAUGGAAAUUUAUGAGAAAUUAAGCCGUUGGUUACAGAGACUAGGUAGGGACCGAGUCAUCUAUACCAGGGACCGAGUCAUCUAUAAGAGGAGGCAGAGACGAAGAGUAGGGGUAGGAAAAAAAGAUAUGGUUUUUAUAUUAUCUUUGAUGCUCUAGCUAAGGAUCAUCUGUCCUAAAACAGUUGCAUUUCUGGAUGUUUAAUGACAGCUCAAUAGUUUGCAGUUUUUUCACAAAGUAACAACAGAAUAUACCUUGUUUUUUCUUAAAACAUCACAAAUUUCCUCAGCAUUAAACAGUCGGCUGCGUUUUCCAGGAUGCCGACGACACUCUUUACGAACAAUUUCUUGACCCAUUUCUUGUAUUAGAUCGUGCAUCAUAAUAAUACCAUUAAAGACAGAUAUUAGGCACCUAUCUUUGAGAACAUCCAUUACAAUCUUAGUAGAGAAACCAUUGCAGUCAUCAAGUAUUUCUGCCAGCACAAUCUCCUGGUAUCCUCUAUAAAAGCAAGCAAUGUCAAGAAAUAUAUUCUUCUCCACCUCCUCGAGCCCAUCAUAACUUAAUUUUAAUACAUUGAAAAUACCAUGAUGUUGGCCCUUUUUCAACUUUUGCAACUGACUUUCCCAUGCUUCUUUUGUUCUGUCACAAAGCAAUGAGCCCAAAAUCUGGAGAGCUAACGGAAUCCCUUUUGCAUAACUCAACACCUUUCCUGACAGUUCCUUGUAAGCAAUUUCUUCUGAAGAUUUUUGUUUAAAAGCAUGUAAACUAAAAAGUCUUAGAGAAUCAUCAGAAUUCAACUCCUUAACUUCGUAGAUAUCAUCAGCUCUAGCAUUCUUAAGCACUUGUCUGUCUCUACUGGUCAUAAUGAUUCUACUGCCCUGCCUAAAACUAUCACUCCAUCCUAUUAAUUUUUGAAGUUGAGCUGAAUCGGUAACAUCAUCAAGAAUGAGGAGAGCCUUUGUCCGUUUGAGCCUUUCUUUGUAAUAUGGUAAAGAAGAAGAUUUCUCUUCCUUUAGAAGCUCAGACAGAUAUUUUGUUCUGAUACUAUCUAUUCCAUCUCUUUGUAUUUUUUCUUGAACGUCUAAAACAAGGCUGCUGGAAUCAAACUGCAAUGCCAAUUUCUGAUAUAUUUGAUCACAAAUUGUACUUUUUCCUAUUCCUCCCAUGCCCCAAAUUCCUAUGAUCCGAACAUCCGGUGACUCAGGAUGCAACAAGGACUGAAUUCCUUCAAUAUGUUUUUGAAUGCCGAUGAUUCCUUGAUCAUAACUGGUGGAAUAAAGAUUCAAUUUUCCCAAAAUAUCUUCCACAAUUUUUUCAACAAGUUUGUGGUCAUUCCUGGCAGAUGAUUUAGAAAAUAAAGUAUAAGAAUUCAAGCACAAAAGCUAAACUAAACUAAAGAAAAAUUCAGAGUCAAGAGGAGUGAACAUCAUUGAAUAGAUUCACAUAUCGAUUCUAGUUUCGAGUUCUGGAUAAAAUAAAUAAAUUAAAAAGUUGAAGGUAAGUUUAGGACGUUAUCUUCCUAUAUUAGUUUGGUUGGUUUAGUAAUUGCAAAUCAAGAUCGCAGAAAUUCUACAGUAACCGUAUGUGACUUCUGAUAAUAGGGAGCAGAUUUGUAGGUACAAAGUUAAGCUAUAACAUGUGAUAUGGUUCAGAUCCAUGACCGACUAAGAGAAAUGAAAAAAGAAACACUUGAUUUAUGGUGAGAUGAACACAAUUUUAGUAAAUGAAAAGAGAUCCUGAUUAUCUAAUAAAUAUAAUGACCUGGUGACUUUUGAAUCCCAGCCUGCAAGUUCAGCAGCUUCGGUUAGAGCAUCCUUCCAUCCUUGCACUCUGUCCAUGUCGUGCUUAAGCCGCUGUUCAUGCUCAUCAAAUGCUUCUUUGAAUCUUUGUUCCUGCUUCCUAAUAGUUGAUGGAUCCACCUUGUAGAAAACAGGUAUCACAUCCCUUCCAUAUCUCUUCUUGCAUUCAAGUAUCUUAGUGAGUUCAUUCAAGCACCAAGUGGAAGAUGCAUAGUUUUGGGAGAAAACGAUGACAUAAAUCUUUGAUUCUUCUAUUGCAGAGAGUAGUGCAGGUGAAAUUUCUUCGCCCCGGGGUAGUCUCUCGUCAAUAUAUGCUUGAAUGUUCUUCCUUUGCAGUGCUGCAUGAAGGUGACGAAUGAAGUUGUCACGUGUGUCUUCCCCUCUGAAGCUGAGAAACACAUCAUGCUUUGUUAGAGAAGCAGACACGGGGAAUGAUGAAGGACUUCCUGACAUUGGAAUCAAUUUUCUCUCUUUUCUCUUGCAACUCUCAGUGCCUUUGUUUGUACACAAAUCAACUCUUGGAAAAGUCUUUGAAUUUUCUCAAAAGUAUCUUUCACAGAUCACGCACGCGUGGAAACAUAGCUGUGUUAAAAUCCUUAUUUAAGUUUUAAUUGGGCCUUGUAGUGGGCUUUGUAAUGUGCUUUUCUUUUCUCCUACAUUGCUUUAUAUAUACACCUCAGCGUUUGCUUUCUACAUUUCAUUUUACAAAAUACAUUCUCUCAUUUUCUACCUUUUAUAUUGUCUGAUUCCGUUCUCUCUUUAUUUUUUUUCAAAUCUCUUUUGCUUACAAUUUUUUUUUCUUUUUUAAGAAAUGUACUUUUUCAAGUUUAAUUUAAUUUUAUAAAACAGUCAUCUUUCUACAGUAUUAUCAUCUCUUACGUGAGAUUAUUAUAUAUUAUUUGGUGAUCUAAGUAAACUUUUAAUCCAAUAAACUUUAAAAAUAAUUCUAAUACUAUAUUAAAAAAUGAAAUUUAAAUCUAAUUCUAUUUUAUAAAAUAUAUUUAUUCAAUGCUAAAAUAUCUCUAAUUGAGUAGGGAUGUUCAAAAUACUUAUUGGUUCUUGAUUUUCACUUUCACUUUUAAGGUUUUUCUUCGCAGACACGUAGUAAACAGAAAUACAAAAAUAUGAGUCAAUGGAAGAGUCUAACGAUUCGCAGAAUAUUAUGGUGUCUAGCUUUAUACCGCAUUAAUGCGAGGAGUUUCUUUAAUAUUUUUACUCAAUUUAUUUAUUUUUAAUUCUUUUUUUUUUCACACCUUUUACAAAUAAAGAAUCGUAUUUCUUUAAUAUAUUUUAGAAAAUAACCACUAAACCUUAUUAUAAAAUAUAUUUAUGAAAUGCACGUGUAAGAAUAACAGGAAAAAUAUUACUACGAAAAACAAUAUAUUAAUAUUAAUAUGUUUCUUAAUAAAUUUCAUACCCACUGUCUAUUUAUAAAUUAAUAUAAUAUAAAUAUCUUUAAUGAUGUUUUUGUGGGUAGCUUAUUUCUCUAACGCAGAAUAUUAUGGUGUCUACUUUUAUAAAACAUUACAUUUUGAUUUUAAUAUUUAUUAAAUAUUUUUUAUUUGGGAUGAAGUAACGAUGAUGAAUCGAAUGUGUUUUGAAGUCUGACAUAACUUUUAGAGAUGUUAUGAGAACGGUUAAUGACGGAAAUUAUCAAAAACCUUUUGGGGGAAGGUUGUGGUUUUGGGAGGUGAUUUCAGGUAAAUAUUGUUAGUGGUAAAAAAAGGAUUAAGAUAUGAUGUUGUGAAGUCAACAAUCAACUUUUCUCAUUUGUGGUUAAAUUGUCGAGUCUUAAAACUUUCUCAAGGAAAUCCAACACGAUCUAUUGAUUGAGCCCACAAAAACACCUUUGUUAUCAUUGGUGAAUUUUGUUUAUCCUAAUUUAUUGACUGAUAUGUUAUGUCCUGAGUACUUUGAGUAUGGAGCAAUACUUUGUCCGACAACUGAAUCAGUAGAGCAAGUGAAUGAUUUUAUUUUAUCUCUGUUAAGUGGUAAAUAAAUAAAUUAUCUUAGUUCGGAUACACCUUGCCAAUUAGAUUAAGAUCAAGAAUUUAAAGUGAAUGGUUCACUUCUGAGUUCUUAAAUGAGAUAAAAUGUUCAGAGAUACUAAAUCAUCGCCUUCAUUUGAAAAUUGGCGUGCCUAUUAUGCUUUUGAGAAAUAUUGAUCAAACCAACGGUCUUUGUAAUGGAACAAGGUUGCAAGUUAUUGAUUUGAAGAAAAUGUUAUUUGUGCAAUAGUUCUAACAGGAACAAAUAUUGGUGAUAAAAUCUUUAUUUCAAUAAUGAAUUUGAUCCCUUUAGAUGUAGGUAUGCCAUUCAAAUUCUAGAGAAGACAAUUUCCAAUAACUUUAUGUUUUGCAAUGACAAUUAAGAAAAGUCAAAGUCAAUUAUUGACCAAAGUUGGUUUAUAUUUUUCACGUCCAAUUUUCACACAUUGAUAGUUGGAUGUAGCUAUUUAUAGAGUUAGAAAGAAAAAAAUUUAAAAAUUCUAACUCUUGAUGAAGAUGGGAAUGCAACAAACAAGAAAAAGAAAAUGUUUACACUGAAACUUUUGACAAUAUUUAAAAACAAUAGAAUUAUAUGAUAAACUUGGAAUAAUGGCUAAUUCUCCCUGCACCCAAUAUUUUUGAACAUGCAACUUUUAAAUUUGCUCCCUUGUAAUUAUAUUUUCUUAUGUGUGAUGUAGUAACAGUUGCCUUAUUUAAAAUGUUACUAAAUAACAUAUCAUUUAUAUCUGUUAUUUUUAUUCUGUUCUGAUUUUAUAUAUAUGUUAACGAAGUUGAGAAUUUUCUGAUUUUACAGGUCCAUGCACAAACCUAAUAUAAUGAUAUGAUAUUCAAUAUCAAGAGGUACUUGUCGUAAAACGGGGAAUAUGAGAGACUCCAUAGAAUGAAGAAAAAGUAUAAAGAGGAUUUACAAAUUACCCUUUCAAAUGCAGCUCCUCAGAAUUUCUUAAUGCCUUCACUGCAAAUGCAACCCAAAUAAGCUAAAGAAGUUAAUCAAACUAUACAUUAAGAGUUUCAAGAAAAUGAAACUCUGGAACAACAGAGCAACCCAUCUCAUGCUCAAUAGAAACAUCAAACUAUAUCUAACAAUAACUUAGAAAUCUUUGUCAACAAUUGAACGAACCCACUCCUAAAAUGCCAUUGAAAAUGUAAAUAAAUAAAUAAAAAUUAAAAAUGAGAAUUCAUAAUAAAAUUUCAUCGUGUUGAAACUUGUAAUUUAGAAGUAUUACGAUAAGCCAGUUUUGAUCCUCGCGAAUGAAAGACUAAUUAGCAGAAAGACUGUGCAAAAUUCCUUCCACUGGAUUCUUCGAUGUCAACUGAUUUGGUAUAAAGAGGACAUAUGCCGCAUUCUUUUAUUGUGAUAACUGAUUUCAACUCUCUCACAAGUAAUUUGCGAUUUGACCGAUUUGGCCGCAGAAAGGGAUCAUCAUAAUCAUGCGAACUGAUCUCAAAAGUGAAGCUGCGAGCAUCACACAGCCUAAGGCUCAUGCCGCUUGCCCUUAGGGACUCCAAGUUAAAUUUCCACACCAAUGUGUGAUCUUUAUCAACACCUCUCUCUUCAUCAUCCCAUCUGAAAUAGUUGUUUAACACAUCAUUAUUUGGAAUUAUCCGUGUGCCAUGAUCAUCAGAUUCAAAUUUUAGGCUGUAACCAAAGGAACCAUAUCUACCUUUAACAACUUUCGUAUCUAACACUUCAAAAACCACACACAAAGCGAAACCACUGAGCCUAUCAUCGCUUAAAAAACUUAAAUCUUCAUUUAUAGUCACUGAAUGUCCCUUCCCACGAAAAUGGAACCAACCAGGAACUGCACUCCCUGGAAAACAGAAGAACACACACCUAUAUCUAUCGUCGGUCAUCCUAAGCCUUGCAUCCUCCUCAAUGUUAGCACGACCACCUGAAUCCAGUUGUUGAGCAUUGGUCAAAAGAAAUUUGAAGAAACCCUCUUUGGAAUUUGACAAGUUUGGAACAAGAGAAUUGGACAUCACUCUUCUAAUGGAUGGGCAAUCCAAUGCCACUAGUUUUUUUAGAAAUGGUGGAAUCUCUGGGAUGCAUUCAAGCUUUUUGCAGUCGCUUAAAUCAAGCGAUUUCAAGCUUGAAAGAUGAGCAACGCUCUCAGGAAGGUUCACAAUUCCGCUAUCACACAGUGACAGUUCCAUUAAUGACGUCAAGCGACCGAUAUCUCUAGGGAUUUCUGUUAAUCUGGCACACCCCGAACAAUCAAGUUUAGAGAGAAGCUUGAGAUUAACAAUGGAGUUUGGAAGUGACUCCAGAUCAGUGCAUUUGCGGAGCUCCAGGGAUCGAAGAUUAACCAAAUUGGCAAAUGAGGAAGGCAGUUCUUUAACAGCCGUACAUAUCAAGUUAAUGUGAUCAAAAGUAGGAGCCGGCUCUGUGAUCUCUGGGAAGGUCCUCAGACUUGAGCAACCACACAAAUCAAGGUUCCUCAACUUCAAAUUGAAAAUGGUGCUUGGAAAAGUUUGUAGUGAACUACAGUGGGUAAGGUCUAACUUGCAUAGUCUGGUGAGGCUUCCAAUGGAAGAUGGAAUAAUCUCAAGAUUGAAGCAACUGCACAAACUCAGUUGUUGAAGCCCUACCAAACGGCACAAGGAUGAAGGUAGUGCCUGUAUGGCUGUGUCGUCUAAGAUGAGCACCACUAGAUCUUCCAACGUGUCCUGAAUCUGGGGUAAAUUUUCCAAUUUUGAGCAACCACGGAGUGAAAGUUGCUUUAGGAACUUCAUAUCAGAAAGGUCAAAUGGAAAGAUUGUAAGGGAAGAACAGUGAGAGAGAUCUAAGUGACAGAGCCUCUUGAGAUUUUGAAAGUUUGAGGGUACACCUUCGAGUAUUGUCGACACUUCACAUUGUGAGUAUAUAGUAUUAUUACCCACUUCUUCUUCGUUAUAUCUGUCAAAACUAAUUGAGGAAAUUUCACUGGAAGUUGGGAAAAUACCUUUAGCAUUAUGGAAUUUAACAGUCCCUCCCAAAAGUAAACUUGAGAAAGUUGGACGUUGACCCUCCAGUUUCACAUGAAGGUAUCUGGGUUGACUGGUUGAAAACAUUUCAAGCUCCUCACAGUGAGAAAGAAUGAUCAAUCCUGGAGAUGUGGAUAAAAUCUUGUUGGGAAUAUUUACACUUUUGAGAUGAUAACAAUGAUCUAAACAUAAACAACUGAGCUUGCUGAGGAAUAUCGAAGAGUGAACUUUAAUCAACUUUUGACAAUAACUCAGAAUUAGUUCUUCAAUAUUCGGUGACAGAGAAAGGUCUGGUAUUCUAGUAAGUUUCAGAGAAUGACUCAGGUUGAGCCUUUUCAAGUUGGGUAAAUUCUGCCACAAAAAGUAAAUGAAUCAGGUAACAAUGAAAAACUAAAAUAAAGUUUUAUGCAAUUUUAUCUAUUUUUCUUCGGUAAACUAUGAGCUACAUCAUCUAUCGAGUUUAUAUUUUACAUAAAACCACUGUUAAAAAAAUCACACUGUUAACUAACAAAAUUAUGGUCACUAUAAAUUUUAUAGUUAUUAUAAAAAUUCACAAAAUUUAACGUGUUUUUGUUCUCUACCUAAAAUUACAUCCUAAUAAUUUGAACCUAAGCUUAUUAUGUAUUGAAAAACUUACUAUAGUAAUUUAUAAUCCAUGACAAUGUCGAAAUACUUUAUACUAUGCAUGUUAAAAUUUGAUAAAAUGUCGAAAUACUGACAAAAUAAAAAUGGUGUUUUCCGAGAGUUAAAAUUAAACUUUAGUUAAAAUAAGUCCAUCUUUACAUAUUUUAUAAUUUGUUGUAUAUUAUAUUGAAGUUGAUGUUAUAAUAAAAAAAUGACUUAAUUAAUCGAAAAAUGUGGAGAAAACACAAAGAAAUUGCAAAUGCUUGUAUAAUUUAUUUUUAUCUUUGAAAGUUUAAAAGACAAAGGAACAUAGAUAACUUGAAAAACCUGAUCUCCUUCCCAGAGUUGUUCAAGACGGCAGCCUGGCAUUUCGAGGAUCACUAGAUUUUGUGGGCAAAAGUUUGGAGGCCAAAAUCUUUGCGGGAAAUCUCUCCAAUAAAGAAACUUUAGAGUGUCUGGCAGACCUACGAGAGAUGAUUCAAGAGACACAUUUGAUAUGUAUUCAGUUGAGUAGAGUAAAAACGUCCAAAGAUCAUCCAACUCUUUACGAGACACAUCUGAUAUGUAUUUAGUUUUAUUUUGCUCGUAUCUAGUAAUAUACACUGUAUUGCAUCUGACCCCUGAAAGUAAAUCAAUGUAAUUAGAAGAAAAAAACAUGAAAUGUUGCAUUGCAGGAUGUUUGAUGACAGCUCAGUGGUUUGCAAUUUUUCACAAAGUAAAUUAAUGACAGGUCAGUAGUUAUAUACCUUAUUCUUUCUUAAAACCUCACAAAUUUCCUCAGCAUUAAACAAUCGGCUGCGUUUUCCAGGAUGCUGAGGACACUCUUUACGAACAAUUUCUUUACCCAUUUCUUCUAUUAGAUCGUGCAUCACAAUUCUACCAUCAAUGACAGAUAUUAGGCCCCUAUCUUUCAGAAUAUCCAUUCCAAUCUUAGAAGAGAAACCAAAGUCAUCAAGUCUUUCUGCUACCUCAAUCUCCUCGUGACCUCUAUAAAAGCAAGCUAUGUCAAGAAAUAUAUUCUUCUCCUCCUCCUCCAGCCCAUCAUAACUUAAUUUUAAUACAUUGAAAAUACCAAGAUGUUGGCCCUUUUUCAACUUUUGCAACUCACUCUCCCAUGCUUCUCUUGUUCUGCCAUAAAGCAAUGACCCCAAAAUCUGGAGAGCUAACGGAAUCCCUUUUGCAUAUCUCAACACCUUUUCUGACAGGUCCAUGUAAGAUUUUUCUGCUGAAGAUUUUUGUUUAAAAGCAUGUAAACUAAAAAGUUUAUGAGAAUCAUCAAAAUUCAACUCCUUAACCUCGUAGAUAUCAUCAGCUCCAGCAUUUCUAAGCACUUGUCUGUCUCUACUGGUCAUAAUGAUUCUACUGCCCUGCCCAAAACUACCACUCCCUCCUAUUAAUUUUUUAAGUAUAGCUGAAUCGGUAACAUCAUCAAGAAUGAGGAUAGCCUUUGUCCGUUUGAGCCUUUCAUUGUAAUAUGAUAAAUCAGGGGAUUUCUUUAUCUCUUCCUUUAGAAGCACAGACAGAUAUUUUCUUCUGAUACUGUCUAUUCCAUCUCUUUGUAUUUUUUCUUGAACGUCUAAAACAAGGCUGCUGGAAUCAAACUGCACUGCCAAUUUCUGAUAUAUUUGAUUACAAAUUGUAGUUUUUCCUAUUCCUCCCAUGCCACAAAUUCCUAUGAUCCGAACAUCCGUUGACUCAAGAUGCAACAAGGACUGAAUUCCUUCAAUAUUUUUUUCAAUGCCGAUGAUUCCUUGAUCAUAACUGGUGGAAUAACGAUUCAAUUUUCUCAAAAUAUCUUCCACAAUUUCUUCAACAAGUGCGUGUUCUGGCCUGGCAGAUGAUUUAGAAAAUAAAGUAUAAGUAUUCAAGCACAAAAGCUAAAGUAAACUAAAGAAAAAUUUUACAGUAACCGUUUGUGACUUCUGAUACUAGGGAGCAGACUUGUAGGUACAAAGUUAAACUAUAAGAUCAGAUAUGGUUCAGAUCCAUGACCGACUAAGAGAAAUGAAAAAAGAAACACUUGAUUUAUGGUGAGAUGAACACAAUUUUAGUAAAUGAAAAGAGAUCCUGAUUAUCUAACAAAUAUAAUGACCUGGUGACUUUUGAAUCCCAGCCUGCAAGUUUAGCAGCUUCAGUUAGAGCAUCCUUCCAUCCUUGCACUUUAUCGUGCUUAAGGUGCUGCUCAUGCUUUUCGAAUGCUUCAUUGUAUCUUUGUUCCUGCUUCCUAAUAGUUGAUGGAUCCACCUUGUAGAAAACAGGUAUGACAUCCCUUCCAAAUCUCUUCUUGCAUUCAAGUAUCUUAGUGAGUUCAUUCAAGCACCAAGUGGAAGAUGCAUAGUCUUGGGAGAAAACGAUGACAUAAAUCUUUGAUUCUUCUAUUGCAGAGAGGAGAGCAGGUGAAAUUUCUUCGCCCCUGUUUAAUCUGUAAUCAAUAUACGCUUCAAUGUUCUUCCUCUGCAGCGCUGCAUAAAGGUGACUAAUGAAGUUGUCACGUGUGUCUUCCCCUCUGAAGCUGAGAAACACAUCAUGCUUUGUUAGAGAAGUAGACACGGGGAAUGAUGAAGAACUUCCUGACAUUGGAAUCAAUUUUCUCUCCUUUCUCUGCAAAUCUCAGAUUCCUUUGUUUGUACCAUUUCUACCUGAAGAAGUGUUUAAAUUUUCUCAAAAUACCUUGCACAGCGUGUUCUGGUCAGACAUAAAGAAAAAGACAAAUAUUAAGUUAAUAGAAUAGUCAACAAUUUAAAAAAUAAGUAUGAAAUAUAGAUAUAUAUCAUUAUCACGUGUGGAAGCUACGUCGUCUUGUAUUGGAUUUUCUAAUCUGCCUUUUAUCUUGUCUCAUUCUUCUUUAUCUUUUUUCUCUCAUCUCUCUUGCUUACGAUUUCUUUGCCUUUAUUCAGAAAUUUUAUUUAUAAUAAACCUUCAAUAAUAUUUGUACUUUCUAGCAUAUAGAAUACUUAAUGGAUCCUUUUCUGAUUUUUCUUUUCUAAAGUGCAAUUGAUAUUUUAAAUGUUUUUCUAUUUAAUUUUCCUUUCUUAAUGACACAUAAAAUGGUUCAGUGCACAAUUAAUUACUCUCACCUUAGAUUUCAUUCAUCUCAUUCCAUUUCCACACUCAAAUCAUUCUCACAUUUGUUUCUACCUGUUUCACAAAGUUUUAGUUAAAAUAUGGAAAUUAAUGUUCAAGAACCCUACUUAAUAUUAAUAUUCAACAAUUUAAAAUAUUAAAAUGCAAAUUAAUCUUUCUUAAUAAUGUCAUUUUUAUGUAAAAAAUAAAAUGUAGUUUAGUCAUUUAUACUUAGAUGGAUAAAGAUGGUUUUAGAAAAAAAAAUGCAUUUUAUUUCAAAGGUUAUCUAAGCUCUGAACUCAUUUAUGAAUUAAUAAUAAUAAAUAAUAUGUAAUUGUAUUCCAAUACCAUAUAAUUUUUUUUAUUGGGUGCGUUUCUGAUGAAUUAAUUAAUGCACUCUAGGGACAAUGAUCGCUCUAGUAUUUGAUUUUUUUAUUUAUUUUAAUGUUGAAAUUAUAGCUAUUUAGUACAGAUACUAUUGACACCGACACAGAUACGACACAGACACAGAGAUACUUAAAAUCUCUAAAAUGUAAGAUACAGAGACAUUAAUCUAUAUAUUAUAUAAUUAUGAAUUAUAUAAAUUAACAAUAAAGACUUAUGUGCACAAGUAUUUUGGAGAUUAUUUUUUAAGCAGAAAUAUGUUUUUCAUGACUGUUUCACAAAGAUUUGUUUCUUAUUUUUAUAAUCAUAAUAACAAUUUAUACCAUAAAGUUUGAAUUUUAGAAAAUUAAUGUAUUUUUUCUUUUUAAAAUUCCGUUAGAAUCGUACUAAAAUUGUAAAAAAUCUAACAAAUACAUUUUGAAUUGGACAUUUCACAAAUACAUGUCCUACCAGUAUCAUACGAAUGUAAACAAAAUUCUUUCUUCAUAUGCCGCAUUCUUUUACUGUGAUAACUCAUUUCAACUCUCUCACAACUGAUUCGUAAUCUGUGGGAUGCAUUAAAGCCUUUUGCAGUUAAAUCAAUAGUAUAUGAUGAUGUGAAUGUUAUUUAUAUACUAAAUAUAAUCACAUAGUAACUUCAAAUUUGAUAAGGUACAACAUGUUACCAUAUCUCUUUUAAUUUCUUUUAUUUCAUUAUAUAUUUAGGUGUAUUUAAUUUCUUUUUAUUUCAUUGUGUAUUUAGGUGUAUUACGUAAAAUAUAUAAUUAAAAAGAAAGAAGAAUAAUGUUAUUUUUAAAUUUAAAGAAUGACAUAUAGAAAUAAACAAGCUAUUUUGAAAUUUUUAGAUUUUACAAAACAUUACAUUUUGAUUUUAAUAUUUAUAAAAUAUUUUUUAAUUUCAUAUUUAAAACACAACACUUAGUUGAGUGUGUUCCUUAGUUACUUACCAAAUAACAACAUACAUCUUAUCGGGUCUUUUUGCGACCCGACCCAAACUCAUCUCGAUCCUAGUAGGGUUCGCAUCAUCUUCAAUUGAGGAGUAGAUUUGUCAGGAGGAAAAUAAAUUGAUUUAUAAGAACAUGUGAAGUUGUUUAGAUUGAGGAAUAAUAGAUGGAUUUUGAUUAUGAUUUAUGGUAAGUUUAAAAAAAAUAGAUUUGUUUCUUUUAACAUUUUUUGUAUUAUAAUUAUUUGCUGGCUGAAUUGUUUUGAGUUAACAUGUUUUCUUGGGGUAUGAUAUUGUGAGGUUUUAUUACAUGCAGGUACGUGAAUAUUUUUUUUAUUCUAGUUGUAUAAAUCAGGAAAAAAUGUUUUUCACAAUAUAAUUAUAAUAACCGUUUAACAACCUAAAUAAUAAUAAAAUAUUAACUCAUAUUAUUUAAUUAAAUUAUUAAAUAAAAAGUAGUAAAACUGAUUGUAGGAUGGGAAUAUGAUUAUUUUUAACUGCUAGCUCCUCAUUAUUCUUUUAUAAUAAAAAACACACUAGUAGGUGUUGAAAAUCGUAAUAUAACAAACAAGUUUUGACACACGUAGGUUUGGCAAUUGUUUUAAUAGCUGAAAAUAGUAAAACAAUUUUUAAUUACCACAAACUGCAUCUUAAAUCAUAAAAAAUAGCAUUUUUUAGUUCAUAUAUAAUAACAUUUCCAUAAAUAAAUCUCCCGCCGCCAUUGAUAUUAAUCAUUAAUAAUUUUAGAUAAUAUUUUUUACUAUAAAACAUUUAAUUGAGAUUGAAUUUUUAAUUCACACUUUUUGGUCAAAGAAUAAUAUAUUUCAUUUUUUUAUUUAUUAAAUAUUUUGUAUAAUGCUGAGAAAAAAAAAUCUCACACACACACACACAUAUAUAUAUAUAUGAUCCCUAUGUCCUACAAGUACAAUAUAACAUCGUUAGUAUAAUGAAUAAAAAUAAUGAGUAUUCAAAGUCGUGUAUUUACGUAAAAGAAUAACAUGAUUUUUAAAAGAACUCACAUUAUCAGUUUAAAUUUUGACGAUAAAAUACAUUAAUUAUAUAUAUUUAUUCAAAAUUUCAAUUAUAUUAUGCAUUAAUGGUUUUAUGCUUUUAGAGGAAUCAGAGAAACUUAGAAAAGCUUAAUGAAACCCUAUGAAUAAAGGAGAUGUAAAAGAAAGAGAAAAAGGAAGUGAGAAAAGAUGAUAAUUAAUAAACACCCACUCUUCAUAACAUAGAGUCUUUAAACCUAUAUUCCCUCAAACAGCAUUUAUAAGUUAUUAUCACCCACAUGGAAUAAGGUGCCUCAAUGUGAACAAACCAAGAUCAGUAAGAAAUAUGAGGUUCAAAUAACGAAGCUGAGAAUUUUCUGGUUUUACAGCUCCAUGCACAAACCUAAUACAAUGAUAUGAUAUUCCAUAGGAUGGAGAAAAGUAUGAUAUGAAGAGGAUUUACCAAUUACCCUUUCGAAUGCAGCUCCUCAGGAUUCCAUCAUGCCUUCACUGCACAUGCAACCCAAAUAUGCUAAAGAAGUUAAUCAAACCCAAAUAUAAAGAAUUUCUAGAGAAUGCAACUCUGGGACAACAGAGUACCCCAUCUCAAGCUGAACAGAAACAUUAAACUAUAUCUAACAAUAACUUAGAAAUCUUUGUCAACAAUGAACGAAUCCAACCGUAAAAUGCCAUUGAAAAUGUAAAUAAAACAAAAUAAAUUAGAUAUGAGAAAUUCAUGAUAAAAUUUCAACACUUGUAAUGUAGAAGCAUUACGAUAAGCCAGUUUUGAUCCUCACCAAUGAAAGUCUAAUUAGCAGAAGAGGAAGAGACUAGUUGACUGGGUAGCUUUCUGCAAUGCCUAUUUUAAGGUUACGCUUCCGGCAAAAAUAUAAUAGAAGACUGCUCUCAUGUCAAAGUUUCUCAUACAUAGAACAACCCGCAAAAGAGAUUAAACAUUCCAAAAGAUGUCUCAACAGAAAUGAAAUGAGAUCCUAACAACUUGUUGGGAAAGUACUAUUUUGCCUUCAAUUCCAUUACUUCCUUUUGCCUUUAAGAGUGCAGUCAUAAUCAUCAAAAUACUUAGACUUUGUGAUAUGUCUUUUGGGCUUGCUAUUCAUCUUUUGUUGCCUCCUCUUGAGCCAUAACACUUUUGGCCUUCCUCUUCCUAUAUUCCCUUGUGUCUCUUGAAGACUGUGCAACAUUACUUCGACUGGAUUAUUCAAUGUGAACAGCACCACCAUAUUCAUCAUCUUUCUUUUUGGAAUAAAGAGGGCAUAUGCCGCAUUCUUUUACUCUGAUAUCGGGCCACCAAUGGCUGAUCUCAAAAGUGAAGCUGCGAGCAUCACAGAGCCUAAGGCUCAUGCCGCUUGCCCUUAGGGACUCCAAGUUAAAUUUCCACACAAAUGUGUGAUCUUUAUCAAGAAAUCUGCCUGCAUCCGUCAAGUUUAACACAUCAUUAUUUGGAAUGAUCUGUGUGCCAUCAUCAUCAGAUUCAAAUUUUAGGCUGUAACCAAAAGAACUAUAUCUACCUUUAAUAUCAUUCGUAUCUAACACUUCAAAAACCACGCACAAAGAGAAACCAGUGAGCCUAUUAUCGCUGCAAAAACUUAAAUCUUCAUUUAUAGUCACUGAAUGUCCCUUCCCACGAAAAUGGAACCAACCAGGAACUGCACUCCCUGGAUAACAGAAGAACACAGACCUAUAUGCAUCGUCGGUCAUCCUAAGCCUUGCAUCCUUCUCAAUGUUAGCACGACCACCUGAAUCCAGUUGUUGAGCAUUGGUGAAAUGAAAUUUGAAUACACCCUCUUUGGAAUUUGAGAGGUUCCGAACAAGAGAAUUUGACAUCACUUUUCUAAUGGAUGGGCAAUCCAAUGCCACGAGUUGUUUUAGAAAUGGUGGAAUCGGUGGGAUGCAUUCAAGCUUUUUGCAGUCGCUUAAAUCAAGCGAUUUCAAGCUCGAAAGAUGAGCAAUGCUCUCAGGAAGGUUCACGAUUCCGCUAUCACGCAGUGACAGUUCCAUUAAUGACGUCAAACGACCAAUGUGCCUUGGGAUUUCUGUUAAUUUGGCACACCCCGAACAAUCAAGUUUAGAGAGAAGCUUCAGAUUAACAAUGCAGUUUGGAAGUGACUCGAGAUCAGUGCAUUUGCGGAGCUCCAGGGAACGAAGAUUAACGAAAUUGGCAAAUGAGGAAGGCAGUUCUUUAACAGUCGUAGAUGUUAAGUUAAUGUGAGCAAAAGUAUGAGCCGACUCCGUGAUCUCUGGGAAGGUCCUCAGCCUUGAGCAACCACGCAAAUCAAGGUUCCUCAACUUCAAAUUGAAAAUGGUGCUUGGAAAAGUUUGAAGUGAAUUACAGUGGGCAAGGUCUAACUUGCAUAGUCUGGUGAGGCUUCCAAUGGAAGAUGGAAUAAUCUCAAGAUUGAAGCAACUGUGCAAACUCAGUUGUUGAAGCCCUACCAAACGGCACAAGGAUGAAGGUAGUGCCUGUAUGGCUGUGUCGUCUAAGAUGAGCACCGCUAGAUCUUCCAACGUGUCCUGAAUCUCGGGUAAAUUUUCCAGUUUUGAGCAACCACUGAGACAAAGUUGCUUUAGGAAUUUCAUAUCAGAAAGGUCAAACGGAAAGAUUGUAAGGGAAGAACAGUCAGAGAGAUCUAAGUAACAGAGGUUCUUGAGACUUUGAAAGUUUAAGGGCACACCUUCCAAGAGACUGUUGAACACCUCUGAGUCUUCUGAGUCUGUAGCAUUAUUAGCCACUUCUAUAUUAUAUCUGUCAAAAGUAAUUGACAAAAUUUCACUGCUUGGGGAAAUUUCACUGGAAGUUGGGAAAUUUAUCUCUUUCGUCAUAUCCAGUUCCUGACGCUCCAGUAUGACAUGAGGGAGAAAUUUAUCUUCAUGUUUACUGAUUGAAAACAUAUUAAGCUUCCGACAAUGGGAAAGAGUAAUCCAUCCUGGUGAUGUGGAUAAAAUGUUGCUCGGAAUAUUUACACUAUUCAGAUCAUCACAAUGAUCUAAACAUAAACAACUGAGUUUGCUGAGGAAUAUCGAAGAGUGAAUUUCAAUCAACUUUUUACAAUAACUCAGAAUUAUUUUUUCAAUAUUUGGUGACAUAGAAAGGUCUGGUAUUCUAGCAAGUUUCCAAGAACGUGUCAGGUCGAGCCUUUUCAAGUUGGGUAAAUUCUGCCACAAAAAGUAAAUGAAUCAGGUAACAAAUAAUAACUACUUUAUCUAUUUUUCUUCCUAUUUAAACUAUUAGCUACUACUAUUGAGUUUAUAUUUUACAUUACUUAAAAACCACUGUUAAAAAAGCCACACUGUGGACUAACAAAAUUAUAUUUUAAAAUAUUAUUAAAGAUAAAAUAUGAAGAUAGGGUAAUUAAAUUAAAUAUAAUUUUUAUUUUUCAGAAAUGAUGAAAAUUAUAAUUAAAUUAACUAAAUUAUAUAAAAUUCCAUUUUAUUUACAUAACUCCUUUUCAUAUUAAAAAACUAUAUAAGAUCUUGAAACUAUAAUUAAUAUCUUAAAAAUUUAAAUAAUAAUAAUUAUUUCUACUCAUCCUUAAUUUUUGUUGGUGAAAUCUUGAUUUUUGGGAUAAUAUCACUUAAACUUAAGAAAUAUUUGACAUUAAUGAACUCUAAACAAAUUUAUAUAAGAAAUCAAGACAUCACUUUCAAUCCGAAAUCUUAAACUAAUAGGUUUAUGGAUUUUCUUUAUAUGUUGUUCAUCUUACCAAUUUGAACCCAAUGCGAGACUUUCAACUCUAAGAGAUGAAGUGGUGUACUUUAUGCUUCUAGGACUUGUUAGAUAUUGAAACAUGUACCAUUGCUAAAAUGUUUGAAUGAAGGAGAAGUCAAAGUCUCUCUCCUUUAGAGAUAUUCGCUCAAGUGGCAAGAGGUUGAUUAAGCAAGAGAGAGAUCGUAUUAAUUCUCUCUUCUAUGCAAUUGUUGUCGUUCAAACAAUGUGGAAUCAUUCAAGCAAAGAAAUCUUCUUUUGGGUUAGGAAACAAGGUUUUUCAAGCGAGAUAAACUCGUCUAAAGAAUUUAACUCUAGUAGUGAAAUGUUGUUGCCAUGAUUUAGCCAAGUGUUUGUAUCUAUGAGGCUAAUGAUGAUGAUGACGAUGAUAAGAUGCAUGAAUGUGUAUACACAAGUGUAUGAUAUACCUCAUGUUAUAUAUUGUAUGUGAUUCAAUUGAUGACCAUUUAUUUUUAGGCCAUUUAUAUGUAUAUUUUGGCCCUUUUAUGAGUAUGUGACGAGAUAUACCUAAGAUUGUAUUAUGAUCCUAAUGAGUCGAAGUAUCAAACACAAAACUCAUUAUGGAAAAAAAAAGAUAUUUUGUGCAUCAGUUAUGAUAUGAUCACAACAAUUAAAGCAUGUGUGAACGGUUAAUAUUGUUCUUAAUAAGAAAACAAAUAAUAUUGUAUGUGACAUUAGAGAUGUCAAAUAGGUUUAGAAAAUUAUUAAGUUUAAUUAUCUUUUUAGUCUUUAUAUUAAUGACCAAAAGUCAAUUCAGAUUUUUAGAAAGUUCAAUAUGAUUUAAUUUUUUAAAAAACAAUUCAAUGUGAUUCCUUCUAGUAUAUUUCCCUUAUUAAAAUAUUUUUAUCUUAAUGAUUCUGCCACUGUUAAGUUAUAUGUGUUGUUAUCACAUUGAAUUGUUUUAAAAAAAUUUGGAACCACCACAUUAAAUUGUUUUAAAAAGUUAGUACUAAAUUGAACUUUUGAAAAUUGGGAGAAUGAAAUUAAAUUUUGUCUAUUAAUACAGGGACAAAAAAUAAUUGAAUCAAAUAUUUUACUAUUUUUGUGAUGUAUAUUUAUAUAUAAAUAAUUUUGAGAAUUUAGAGUUACAAUGUGUUAUAUCAUAUAUAUAUAAUUCUUUUUGGUAAUGUAUCCUGUAGUUGUAAGCAAGUAUGAUUAUAUUAAGUGGGGCGUUUCAAAUAGUGGAGACUACGCAUAUACAAAUAUCUCUUAUAAAGUAAGAAAACAAAACAAUCGUUACUCAAGAAGAUCAUGCAAUGCAUCACAGACAACAUGGGAGAUAUAUAUCAACAAUAAUAUGAGUAAAUAAUACAUUCAUGGGCCAUUAGACGAUAUGCCUAAAAAAAAUAUGCAAACUAUUAAAUUUAUAAUUAUUUUUAAUUAGAAACAUGCUGAGUAUGACUCUUAUGAUAUAUGUAUAACUGUGUGCUUCAAAUAAAAGAAAUUUCAAAUCGAAUAAUGUGGAGAAGGCACAAAGGAAUUGCAAAUGAAAACCUGUAGAUGUAUAAUACACAAAACAUGCUUGUCUAAUUUAUUUUUAUCUUUGAAAGUUUAGAACACAAAGGAACAUAGAUAACUUGAAAAACCUGAUCUCCUUCCCAGAGUUGUUCAAGAUCGCAGUAUGGCAUUUCGAGGAUCACUAGAUUUUGUGGGCAAAAGUUUGGAGGCCAGAAUCUUUGAAGGAAACCGUUCCAAUAAAGAAACUUUAGAGUGUCCGGCAGACCUACAAGAGAUGAUUCAAGAGACACUUUUGAAUUCAAUCUAGGCAUGUAGACCAUAAGCAUCAUAAGAUUGUCCAUCUUUUCGAAACUUUGUGCAUGUACUACAGCAUCUUUUACUUUGUUCGUAUGAUAUUGAUAUACACUGUAUUGCAUCUGACCCCUGAAAGUAAAUCAAUGUAAUUAGAAAAAAAAACAUGAAAUGUUGCAUUUCAGGAUGCUUAAUGACAGCUCAGUAGUUUUCUAUUUUUCACAAAGUAACAACAGCAUAUACCUUGUUCUUUCUUAAAACCUCACAAAUUUCCUCAUCAUUAAACAAUCGGCUGCGUUUUCCAGGAUGCUGAGGACACUCUUUACGAACAAUUUCUUUACCCAUUUCUUGUAUUAGAUCGUGCAUCACAAUUCUACCAUCAAAGACAGAGAUUAGACCCCUAUCUUUGAGAAUAUCCAUUCCAAUCUUAGAAGAGAAACCACAGUCAUCAAGUGUUUCUGCUACCACAGUCUCCUCUUGCCCUCUAUAAAAGCAAGCUAUGUCAAGAAAUAUAUUCUUCUCCUCCUCCUUGAGCCCAUAAUAACUUAAUUUUAAUACGUCGAAAGUUCCAAGAUCUUGGCCGUUUUCCAACUUUUGCAACUGACUCUCCCAUGCUUCUCUUGUUCUGCCAUAAAGCAAUGACCCCAAAAUCUGGAGAGCUAACGGAAUUCCUUUUGCAUAUCUCAACACCUUUACUGACAGGUCCAUGUAAGCAAUUCCUUCUGAAGAUUUUUGUUUAAAAGCAUGUAAACUAAAAAGUUUCAGAGAAUCAUAAAAAUUCAACUCCUUAACUUCGUAGAUAUCAUCAGCUCCAGCAUUCUUAAGCACUUGUCUGUCUCUACUGGUCAUAAUGAUUCUACUGCCCUGCCCAAAACUAUCACUCCCACCUAUUAAUUUUUGAAGUUGAGUUGAAUCGGUAACAUCAUCAAGAAUGAGGAGAACCUUUGUCCGUUUGAGCCUUUCAUUGUAAUAUGGUAAAUAAGAGGAUUUCUCUUCCUUUAGAAGCUCAGACUGAUAUUUUGUUCUGAUACCGUCUAUUCCAUCUCUUUGUAUUUUUUCUUGAACGUCUAAAACAAGGCUGCUGGAAUCAAACUGCAAUGCCAAUUUCUGAUAUAUUUGAUCACAAAUUGUAGUUUUUCCUAUUCCUCCCAUGCCACAAAUUCCUAUGAUCCGAACAUCCGUUGACUCAAGAUGCAACAAGGACUGAAUUCCUUCAAUAUUUUUUUCAAUGCCGAUGAUUCCUUGAUCAUAACUGGCGGAAUAACGAUUCAAUUUUCUCAAAAUAUCUUCCACAAUUUCUUCAACAAGUGCGUGUUCUGGCCUGGCAGAUGAUUUAGAAAAUAAAGUAUAAGUAUUCAAGCACAAAAGCUAAAGUAAACUAAAGAAAAAUUUUACAGUAACCGUUUGUGACUUCUGAUACUAGGGAGCAUACUUGUAGGUACAAAGUUAAGCUAUUGUGUGAUAUGGUUCAGAUCUAUGACCGACUAAUAGAAAUGAAAAAAGAAGCACUUGAUUUAUGGUGAGAUGAACACAAUUUUAGUAAAUGAAAAGAGAUCCUGAUUAUCUAAUAAAUAUAAUGACCUGGUGACUUUUGAAUCCCAGCCUGCAAGUCCAGCAGCUUCGGUGAGAGCAUCCUUCCAUCCUUGCACUGUGUCGUGCUUAAAGUGCUGCUCAUGCUCAUUGAAUGCUUCUUUGUAUCUUUCUUCCUGCUUCCUAAUAGUUGAUGGAUCCACCUUGUAGAAAACAGGUAUCACAUCCCUUCCAUAUCUCUUCUUGCAAUCAAGUAUCUUAGUGAGUUCAUCCAAGCACCAUGUGGAAGAUGCAUAGUUUUUGGAGAAAACGAUGACAUAAAUCUUUGAUUCUUCUAUUGCAGAGAGGAGUACAGGUGAAAUUUCUUGGCCCCUGAGUAAUCUGUAAUCAAUAUAUGCUUGAAUGUUCUUCCUUUGCAGCGCUGCAUAAAGGUGACUAAUGAAGUUGUCACGUGUGUCUUCCCCUCUGAAGCUGAGAAACACAUCAUGCUUUGUUAAAGAAGCAGACAUGGCCAAUGAUGAAGGGUUUCAAUGUUCUCUGCAACUCUCAGAUCCCUUUGUUUGUAAGCAACUUCCAUAUAUUCUAUUAGGAAGGAAAAUAUAUAUUUCUACCAUUCCUACCACAAAUUGAAAAAGCCUUUCAAUUUUCUCAAAAUAUCUUUCACAGCUGUGUUCUGUCAGAUACGAAACAUUGAGUCAAUGGAAGAGUCAACAAUUGGCAGAAUAUUAUGGUGUGUAGCUUUAUACCAUUCUUACAAUAUUUGAUUGGUUGAAUAUAUACAAUAUGACUAAUGAACUUUUUUCUUUUCCGUAUUCCACGAUAAUUCCCUAGGCACCCUAUUAUACACUUUCUUAUCAACGGAAACCAUGUCUGUCCUUUUAUAGUUUUAAUCCUAUAAUAUCUUUCCAUUAAUCAUCAUUAUCACUCUUCAACCUUCAUAUCAAGUGUAUUGAUUUCAUACUUCAUCAGCUAGACAUAAUAAAAUCUCAAUAAUCUUUUAUACUGUCAACAUUUAUAAAAAAUAUUUCCUUCAAUAAUAUUUGUACUUUCUAGCAUAUAGAAUACUUAAUGGAUUCUUCUGUGAUUUUUCUUUCCUAAAGUACAAUUGAUAUUUUAACAGAUGCCGAAAGGUCUUGAAUAUGAGGCUGUUUCGAAAUGAAAAUUGGGGUAAAGCAUUUUCAAGUUAACAAGUUUUGUUGGGUGAGUGAGUGAUCAGUGCUAGCAUUUUCAAUCUCAGUUAUAGAAUGUAAAGAUUUACACAUUUAUUUGCUGAUUAAUAAUUUAUUUAUUGAAUUAAAUGUUUUAACAGUGAGUAUGGAUUCUUGAAUGAAUGUAAUCAUGGUGUAGAAUGUACAUAGUACAUAUAGUGAGUUGGAUUGAAAUGUUGAACACGUUUUCCUCUGCAAAGAUUCAGGAUAUUUAUGAACUUGCUAUAAAUUGUUUUAACUUUUCUCUGCAACUCUCAGUCCCUUUGUUUCUACCAUUUUGUUUUUGAAAAGCCUUUCAAUUUUCUCAAAAUAUCUUUCACUGCUGUGUUCUGUCAGAUACGAAACAUUGAGUCAAUGGAAGAGUCAACAAUUCGUAGAAUAUUAUAUUAUGGUGUCAAUAUUUAAUAAAUUUAUUUAUUUCUUUAACAUAUUUUAGAAAAUAACCAGUAAACAUAAAACUUUUAGUAUGACUAAAAGAAUAAAGAUAGUGUAAGAAUAACAGGAAUAACAUUACUACAAAUAACAAUAUAUUAAUAUUAAUAUGUUUCUUAAUAAAUUUUACACCCACUGUCUAUUUAUAAAUUAAUAUAUUAUAAACAUCUAUUGAUUUUUUGUGGGUAGCUUAUUUCUGUAACAUUUUAAAUUAAUUUUUUAGAUUUUACAAAACAUUACAUUUUGAUUAUAAUAUUUAGGACUGUGAUGCAAUUUCUGCAAUGAAGGCUGGCAGACUAAGUUUCUCCAAGCCCAAUUAAUACUGGGUUGAAAAUUCUGAGAAGAGGGUGAGUAUGAUGCUGCGGUCAUGAUCUAUGUAUUAAAGUGUUAAGGCAUGGGUUUGGUUGACAGGACAAUACUGGUUUUUCAUUGCUACUACUUAAUAUGAUUCUUUCUUACUGCUAUAUGAAUUUGCUGUCAAAUAGCAGUAAAUAAAAGACUUCAAAUAAAGCAUGUGUUUAUCAUACAUGGACUAAUGCAGCAGUUUUAGUAGAAGGGGCUAAUAUGAUUUUAAUCUAGAACAAGAUGGCUAAACCCAAAGAUGGUGGGAAUAAUAUCCUCAAAUCAAUUGUUUUGGUUUUCAGUGUAAUGUCAUUUGUAAGUAUCAAAAUUUGUUUGUUAUCACAUUGGAAGGUAGUAUCUGUCAUGAAAUUUGUGGAAGACCUUUACCUAUGUUUGCUUUGGGUCUGUUUUACGCCCUCUCGAAUUAAGUAAAUUUUUAAUUGCCAUCAUGAAAUUAGGCUAAAUAUGUGUAGUUUUGAGCACUUUCUUUCUUCCAUUUCAAUUCAUAGUUUCAUACAUAUUCAAUAUCAUGUGGGAAUUAAGUUCUUGCUUUUAAGGUGAAUAACAGUUUGUAUUCUUGCAGAAAACUAUUUUCUAAUGCAUAUAAAUUUCAUUUUCUAUUUUCAGCAUUGGAUUAUGUUAUGUAAUUUUUCCUUUGUAUUAUACAGAGUAGGAUUUUAAUGUUUCUACUGAACAGUGCUAUCUUUUUUCGUCCAUAUUCUGAUUUUGUUCAAUUUUUUUCAGUAUGUGCCACAUGCAGAUCAGAUGUAAGGAAUUUUCUAAAUUUUUUUUCAAGCUUUCUUGUUUGCUUAAAGUUUUCUGUAAGUAUUUAACUGUCUUAAGUUGUUAAUGAGGACUAAGGACUGAAAAAGAGAAUUAGCCAUGACAUGGUGGCAUUAUCCUUCUUCAAAACCAUUAGUUUUUUUUCCUACAAAGAUACAUGUCAAGAAAGCAAACCAGGAACAAAAGUGAUGUUUAUGAUUGCUUUCUCUCUUGUUUACUUGCUUUCUUUUUGUUGGACAAUUGUCUUAAUUGCAUUCACACCUAACCUGCAGUAGUUUCAGUCCCUUUGGGGUUGUCAUAAUUGCAGCCUCAAGAGUGGUGGUGUAGUCCAACAUCAACCAGUGAUAUAGUUCAAAUAUAGCAUAUACAUGAAAGUCGUGUUGAUAAUCAAAGGUUGCUUCAUCUUAACUAAUAACAUGUAAAUGUCAUUUGAAUGGUUAAAAAGGAAUUCACCAGUGUAACACAAAAUGAAUGGAUUGCUUGGUUAUGUGUCAACUGUUGUACUUUUUUUGAGUUGCUUGAAAAUAAUUAAAAUUUGUUUUCAUCUAGAUCUUGGUUUUUUCCUAUGAUCAAAUCUCGAUUUAUUUCUGUGCAGAACUUUCUUGUGGACAUAAAAGGACCAGCUAUAGCAUUUUUACCGGUGCUUGCAUUUGAAGGAGGAACUAGAAGAAAUAUACCUAGGUUUGAGGUGUGUAUAAAUUAUUUUUGAUGUAUUUCGUGAUGUAGAUGUAAAAUAAUGCAAUACUUUGUUUUUAGUUUCAAUGUUACUCUUUAUCUGCAGGUUGGAAACAUAUCUUGAUGAAAUAUAGAAACAUUUUUAUUCAUAAUAUAUAUAUAAGGAUUACACAUUCAUAAUUAUUUCUUUCUGUCGUAGCAUUGUCUACCUCAAAUCACUGCAACUUUCUGUUGUUGGUAUAAAAAUACAAUAUUUUAAUCCCAGUUUUGAUAGCCUCUAUUCUUCAGUGGUUGAGAUAUUUUUUAUAAGAAUUUAGAAGUUCUGAGAUAUUUAUGAUAAGAAUUUCAAGUUCUUUGUUACUAGCAGUUUAAUGGUUAUAUCAUUUUUGUUCUCUGGAAAAUAUCUUAUACAAAAUCGGUACUUAGAUUUGGUAUUUAUAUUGUUCAUAUGUAGAAAUCUAAUACUAGCAAAUUUUGUCUAAUUUAAAAGCAAUUACAUUCUACUCUUUGGAAUAUGUUCUGGCCUGCUUUUAUGAAUUAUUUGAAAAUUUGUAAUUAUAAAAUUUAGUCUUUGAAAUUAUAAAUUUAAUAGAGAAGCAUCCAUACUAAACUUUUAUAUUAUAAAUUGUCAGUUUUAUAUUGAAAACAUAUCCCCUUUAGUAUAAGACUUAAAGGAGAUGUCUUUUGGUAUAAAAACUGAAAUAAAAAAUAUUUUAACUAUAUGGGUCAAAUGGAUGAUUAAACUUAUAAAAUGUACAAUUAAACUUAUAAAUUAUAAUAAACGAUACUUUAAUUUUAAACUAUAUUGAACUUUUAUUAAUGUUCUCGCUUUUCUUUAAAAGCUAUUGAACUCUAUCUAACAAUAACUUAAAAAUGAGAAAUUCAUGAUAAAAUUUCAACACUUGUAAUCUAGAAGUAUUACGAUAAGCCAGAAGAGGAAGAGACUAGUUGACUGGGUAGCUUUCGGCGUUCCUCUUCCUAUCUUCCCCUGUUUCUCCUGAAGAGUGUGCAACAUUGCUUCCACUGAAUUCUUCAAUGUCAUUUUCUGAUGCAGAAUAGUCAACAGCACCACCAUAUUUAUCAUCUUUCUUUUUCGUAUAAAGAGGGCAUAUGCCGCAUUCUUUUAUUCUGAUACCUGAUUUCAACUCUCUCUCAACUGAUUCGUAAUCUGGCCGAUUUGGCCGCAGAAAGGGAUCAUACGGACUGAUCUCAAAAGUGAAGCUGCGAGCAUCACACAGCCUAAGGCUCAUGCCGCUCGCCAUUAGGGACUCCAAGUUAAAUUUCCACACGAAUGUCCCUUCACCAUCCCAUUUGAAAUAGCUAUUUAACACACCCUUAUAUGGAAUGAUCUGUGUGCCAUCAUCAUAUUCAAAUUUUAGGCUGUAACGAAAAGAACCAUAUCCACCUUUAAUAUCUAACACUCCAAAAGCUACACACAAAGCGAAACCAGUGAGCCUAUCAUCGCUGCAGAAACUUAAAUCUUCAUUUAUAGUCACUGAAUGUCCCUUCCCACGAAAAUUGAACCAACCAGGAACUGCACUCCCUGGAAAACAGAACAACACACACCUAUAUGUAUCGUCGAUCAUCCUAAGCCUUGCAUCCUCCUCGAUGUUAGCACGAGCACCUGAAUCCAGUUGUUGAGCAUUGGUGAAAUGAUAUUUGAAGACACCCUCUUUGGAAUUUGACAAGUUUGGAACAAGAGAAUUUGACAUCACUCUUCUAAUGGAUGGGCAAUCCAAUGCCUCGAGUUGUUCUAGAAAUGGUGGAAUCGGUGGAAUGCAUUCAAGCUUUUUGCAGUCGCUUAAAUCAAGUGAUUUCAGGCUUGAAAGAUGAGCAAUGCUCUCAGGAAGGUUCACGAUUCCGCUAUCACGCAGUGACAGUUCCAUUAAUGACGUCAAGCGACCGAUGUGUCUUGGGAUUUCUGUUAAUUUGGCACACCCCGAACAAUCAAGUUUAGAGAGAAGCUUCAUAUUAACAAUGGAGUUUGGAAGUGACUCGAGAUAAGUGCACUCUUGGAGUUCCAGGGAUCGAAGAUUAACCAAAUUGCCAAAUGAGGAAGGCAGUUCUUUAACAGCCGUACAUGUCAAGUCAAUAUGAGCAAAAGUAUGAGCCGGCUUCAUGAUCUCUGGGAAGGUCCUCAGCCUUGAGCAACCACCCAAAUCAAGCUUCCUCAAUUUCAAAUUGAAAAUGGUGCUUGGAAAAGUUUGAAGUGAAUUACAGUAGGUAAGGUGUAACUUGCAUAGUCUGGUGAGGCUUCCAAUGGAAGAUGGAAUAAUCUCAAGAUUCAAGCAACUGUGCGAACUCAGUUGUUGAAGCCCUACCAAACGGCACAAGGAUGAAAACUUAUUUUAUUUUUGCUGUUCAUGCAUAACAUUAACAAAUAUUGACAUGAGAGAUUGUGUUUGUAGGCUUCUAAGCUCACCAACGUGUCCCGUUCUUGAUGCUUUAGGGAAGAAAAUUUCCUUUGAGAUUGCAAAAGGACUCAGGAGAAUUUAGAAGUUCUGAGAUAUUUAUGAUAAGAAUUCAAGUUCUUUGUUACUAGCAGUUUAAUGGUUAUAUCAUUUUUGUUCUCUGGAAAAUAUCUGAUACAAAAUUGGUACUUAGAUUUGGUAUUUAUAUUGUUCAUAUGUAGAAAUCUAAUACUAUAGCAAAUUUUAUCUAAUUUAGAAGCAAUUAUAUUCUACUCUUUGGAAUAUGUUCUGGCCUGCUUUUAUGAUUGUAAUUAUAAAUUUAAUAGAGGAGAUUACCAAACAUCCAUACUAAUUAAACUUUUAUAUUAUAAAUUUUUUCAGUUUUAUAUUGAAAACAUAUCCCUUUAGUAUAAGACUUAAAGGAGAUGUCUUUUGGUAUAAAAACUGAAAUAAAAAAUCUUUUAACUAUAUGGGUCAAAUGGAUGAUUAAACUUAUAAAUGUACAAUUAAACUUAUAAAUUGUAAUAAACGAUACUUUAAUUUUAAACUCUAUUGAACUUUUUUUAAUGUUCUCGCUUUUCUUUUAAAUGCAUUUCACUUGUGUGUUUUGUAUUCAGGCUGAUUUUAACUUUAUUCUCAAAUAUACAAAAUAAUUUUUGGUAAUUAUCUUGUGUCGAUCUUGACUUGUAGUAUCAAUGUGAAAUAUGUAAUAAUUACUUUUCUAUGAUUCAGAGGGAAAAUUAUUCCAACUAGACUUUUACAAAUAUAUUUCAAGUGGUAAUAUGAUUUUAAAAAAAAUAGGAUUCGCCACAAAAAAAAGUUACUGUUCCUAAUUGACAUGGUGCUGUCAAAAUUAUUUAAUUACAAUUUAGAUCUUCACUCUACAUAUAAUUAAUUAAUUACCAAUUAUUUAAAAGACUAGUAAAUUAUAAUUUUAAUCUCUCUACAACUUUCUAAAUUUAGUUAUGAUUCUCUCAAAAAAAUUUCCCUUAAAUAUUAAUUAUAAUUACCUUUAGACAGAAACAUUUCUAAUUUAAACAAGCAAAAAUAAGAAAAAAAAAUAGAUUACAAAAACUAAAUUUGAAUUUUUUUAUAUAACUCCAAAUAUAUUUUAUCCAUAAAUAAAUUCUAUUAAUAUUUCAUUUCUGUUUAAAUAGUUUAUUCAUAUUUGUAAUAUUAUUUUCAAAAAACAAUAAUUGUUUUUUGAAUAAAGGUUUACAAAUUCUAUAAUAAUGUAAAUGAGAAGAGGAGUGAGGGUAAAAAUAUGAGAACCUAUGUGAGGGAAUCUUGUGACAAUUUAGCUGGUGUUCAACUUGUGAGAAGUCUUUCAACUUGGUUUUCAAGUUUUAUAUUCAAUUUCUGUUCCUUCAAAUGUUUCUGAUUUUACAGCUCCUCAGGAUUUUACAGCUCCAUGCACAAACCUAAUACAAUGAUAUGAUAUUCAAUCAGCAUUAAUUAGCAUAAACAGGUACCUUGUUGUAAAACUGGGAAUAUGAGAUUCCAUAGGAUGGAGAAAAGUAUGAAGAGGAAUUACCAAUCACCAUUUACCAAUCAUAAUGCCUUCACUACAAAUGCAACCCAAAUAUGCUAAAGAAGUUAAUGAAACUAUAUAUGAAGAGUUUCAAGAAGAUGCAACUCUGGGACAACAGAGCAACCCAUCUCAUGCUGAACACAAACAUCAAACUACAUCUAACAAUAAUUCAGAAAUCUUAAUCAACAAUUGAGCGAACCCACUCCUAAAAUGCCAUUGAGAAUGUAAAUAAAUCAAAAUACAUUAAAAACGAGAAAUUCUUAAUAAAAAUUCAACGUGUUGAACCUUGUAAUUUAGAAGUAUUAACGAGAAGCCAGUUUAGAUCCUCACCAAUGAAAGACUAUUUUACAGGUUAGCUUCCACUGGAUUCUUCAAUGUGAACAGCACCACCAUAUUUAUCAUCUUUCUUUUUGGAAUAAAGAGGGCAUAUGCCGCAUUCUUUUAUUGUCACAACUGACCACCCAAAGUCAUAAAGAGGACUGAUCUCAAAAGUGAAGCUGCGAGCAUCACACAGCCUAGGGCUUAGGGAUUCUAAGUUAAAUUUCCAGACGAAUGUGUGAUCUUUAUCAACAAAACUGUAUUCACCAUUCCAUUUGAAAUGUCUGUUUAACCUAUCAUUAUUUGGAAUGAUAUGUGUGCCAUCAUCAUCAGAUUCAAAUUUUAGGCUGUAACCAAAAGAACCAUAUCUACCUUUAACAGAAUUCGUAUCUAACACUCCAAAAACCACACACAAAGCGAAACCAGUGAGCCUAUCAUCGCUGCAGAAACUUAAAUCUUCAUUUAUAGUCACUGAAUGUCCCUUCCCACGAAAAUGGAACCAACCAGGAACUGUACUCCCUGGAAAACAGAAGAACACAGACCUAUAUCUAUCAUCGGUCAUCCUAAGCCUUGCAUCCUCCUCAAUGUUAGCACGACCACCUGAAUCCAGUUGUUGAGCAUUGGUGAAACGAAAUUUGAAGACACCCUCUUUGGAAUUUGACAAGUUUUGAACAAGAGAAUUUGGCAUCACUCUUCUAAUGGAUGGGCAAUCCAAUGCCACGAGUUGUUUUAGAAAUGGUGGAAUCUGUGGGAUGCAUUCAAGCUUUUUGCAGUCGCUUAAAUCAAGCGAUUUCAAGCUUGAAAGAUGAGCAAUGCUCUCAGGAAGGUUCACGAUUCCGCUAUCACGCAGUGACAGUUUCACUAAUGACGUCAAGCGACCGAUGUGUCUUGGGAUUUUUGUUAAUUUGGCACACCCCGAACAAUCAAGUUUAGAGAGUAGCUUCAGACUAACAAUGGAGUUUGGAAGUGACUCGAGAUCAGUGCAUUUGCGGAGCUCCAGGGAUCGAAGAUUAACGAAAUUGGCAAAUGAGGAAGGCAGUACUUUAACAGCCGUAUAUGAUAAGUCAAUGCGAGCAAAAGUAGGAGCCCGCUCCGUGAUAUCUGGGAAGGUACUCAGGCUUGAGCAACCACACAAAUCAAGCUUGCUCAAUUUCAAAUUGAAAAUGCUGCUUGGAAAAGUCUGAAGUGAAUUACAGCGGGUGAGGUGUAACUUGCAUAGUCUGGUGAGGCUUCCAAUGGAAGAUGGAAUAAUCUGAAGAUUGAAGCAACUGCGCAAACUCAGUUCUUCAAGCCCUAUCAAACGGCACAAGGAUGAAGGUAGUGCCUGUAUGGCUGUGGCGUCUAAGAUGAGCACCGCUAGAUCUUCCAACGUGUCCUGAAUCUCGGGUAAAUUUUCCAAUUUUGAGCAACCACGGAGAGAAAGUUGAUUUAUGAAUUUCAUAUCAGAAAGGUCAAUUGGAAAGAUUGUAAGAGAAGAACAGUGAGAGAGAUCUAUGUGAGAGAGCUUCUUGCCACUAAAUUGUAAGGGCACACCUUCGUAGUCUUCUGAGUAUUCUGAGUCUGUAGCAUUAUUAGCAUUUAUCUCUUUCAUCAUAUCCGGUUCCUGACGCUCCAGUAUGACAUGAGGGAGAAAUUUAUCUUCAUGUUCACCCAAUGAAAACAUAUUAAGCUUCUCACAACCGGAAACACUAAUCCAUCCUGGUGAUGUGGAUAAAAUGUUGCUGGGAAUAUUUACACUUUUGAGAUUAGAACAAUGAUCUAAACAUAAACAACUGAGCUUGGUGAGGAAUAUCGAAGAGUGAACUUCAAUCAACUUUGAACAAUAACUCAGCUUUAUUUCUUCAAUAUUCGGUGACAGAGAAAGGUCUGGUAUUCUAGUAAGUUCCCAAGAUUUAACCAGGUCGAGCCUUUUCAAGUUGGGUAAAUUCUGCCAGAAAUAGUAAAUGAAUGAGGUAACAAAUAAAAACUACUUUAUCUAUUUUUCUUCCUAUUUAAACUAUUAGCUACUAUCUAUUGAGUUUAUAUUUUACAUUACUUAAAAACCACUGUUAAAAAAACCACACUGUGGACUAACAAAACUCUGCCUAUAAAUUUUAUAGUUAUUAUAAAAAAUCACAAAAUUUAACGUCUUUUUGUUCCCUACCUAAAAUUACAUCCUAAUCAUUUGAACCUAAACUUAUUAUGUAUUCAAAAACUUAUGAUAGUAAUUUAUAAUCGAUCACAAUGUCAAAAUACUUUAUAUUAUACAUGUAUCAACUCACAAAAUAAAUGGUGUUGUCUCAGAUUUAAAAUUAAACCUUAGUUAAAAAGUCCAUCUUUCCAUAAUUUAUUUUAUUAAAUACAUAAUUUGUAAUUUAUUGUAUAUUAUAUUCAAGUUUAUGUUAUGAUAAAAAAAGUAUCUAAGGCAUUUUUAAUUAAAUAAUAUAAAAUAAACAACAUGAACUCAAUUAAAUAAUAUAAAUUUUUUUGAAUACUCGAUGGAAUAAAAAAAUUAAUAAAACCCUCAAUUUGAAAAUAACCAAAUUUAUAAGAUACUUAAAACUUAAUUAAACCUACAAAUUUUCAUUAUAUGGAAUUAAAUAUUGUAAAGAUUUACCACAUAAGUUUCAUAAGUAGAAGGUUUAAACAUAAAAUUCUUCACGUUGGGAGUUUCUUUCCUCUAUCUUAUAAGUUUUCGUUGUUUCUUUAAUAUUUUUUAUAUGGCUUCUGUCAAUGUAAUUUUUUUUUUGGUUUUAAAAUAUUAUUAAAGAUAAAAUAUGAAGACAGGGUAAUUAAAUUAAAUAUAAUUUUUAUUUUUCAGAAAUGAUGAAAAUUAUAAUUAAAUUAACUAAAUUAUAUAAAAUUCCAUUUUAUUUACAUAACUCAUUUUCAUAUUAAAAAACUAUAUAAGAUCUUCCAAAGUAGAUAUAAUACAUUCACGGGCCAUUAGAUGAUAUGCCUAAAAAAAUAUGCAAACUAUUAAAUUUAUAAUUAUCUUUAAUUAGAAACAUGCUGAGUAUGACUCAAAUAAAAGAAAUUUCAAAUCGAAUAAUGUCGAGAAGGCACAAAGGAAUUGCAAAUGAAAACUUGUAUAUGUAUAAUACAGAAAACAUGCUUGUAUAAUUUAUUUUUAUCUUUGAAAGUUUAGAACACAAAGGAACAUAGAUAGCUUGAAAAACCUGAUCUCCUUCCCAGAGUUGUUCAAGAUGGCAGAAUGGCAUUUCGAGGGUCACUAGAUUUUGUGGGCAAAAGUUUGGAGGCCAAAAUCUUUGAGGGAAAUGUGUCCAAUAAAGAAUCUUUAGAGUGUCUGGCAUAUCCACAAGAGGUGAUUCAAAAGACACUUUUAAUUCCAAUCCCCACGUGUAGAGCCUAAGCACCCUAAGAUUGUUCAUCUUUUCGAAACUUUGUGCAUGUACUACAACUUCUUUUACUUUGAAAGUAGAUAGUGAUAUACACUCUAUUGAAGUAGAUAGUGAUAUACACUCUAUUGCAUCUGACCCCUGAAAGUAAAUCAUGAAAUGUUGCAUUGCAGGAUGUUUGAUGACAGCUCAGUGGUUUGCAAUUUUUCACAAAGUAAAUCCAUUCUCAAUUGAGUAACGACAUAAUACCUUGUUCUUUCUUAAAACCUCUCAAAUUUCCUCAGCAUUAAACAAUCGGCUGCGUUUUCCAGGAUGCUGAGGACACUCUUUACGAACAAUUUCUUUACCCAUUUCUUGUAUUAGAUCGUGCAUCACAAUUCUACCAUGAAAGACAGAUAUUAGGCCCCUAUCUUUGAGAAUAUCCAUUCCAAUCUUGGAAGAGAAACCACAGUCAGCAAGUAUUUCUGCUACCACAAUCUCUUGUGACCUAUAUAAAAGCAAGCUAUGUCAAGAAAUAUAUUCUUCUCCUCCUCCUCGAGCCCAUCAUAACUUAAUUUUAAUACAUUGAAAAUACCAAGAUGUUGGCCCUUUUCCAACUUUUGCAACUGACUCUCCCAUGCUUCUCUUGUUCUUCCAUAAAGCAAUGACCCCAAAAUCUGGAGAGCUAAUGGAAUCCCUUUUGCAUAUCUCAACACCUUUUCUGACAGUUCCCUGUAAGCAAUUUCUUCUGAAGAUUUUUGUUUAAAAGCAAGUAAACUAAAAAGUUUCUGAGAAUCAUCAAAAUUCAACUCCUUAACUUCGUAGAUAUCAUCAGCUCUAGCAUUCUUAAGCACUUGUUUGUCUCUACUGGUGAUAAUGAUUCUACUGCCCUGCCCAAAACUAUCACUCCCUCUUAUUAAUUUUUGAAGUUGAGCUGAAUCGGUAACAUCAGUUAGAAGUGGAACACGUUUGUAGAAGUGGAACACGUUAGUUGGUUAGUUGCCUUAAGAAGCGGAUCAUGUAUUUUUUCUUGAACGUCUAAAACAAGGCUGCUGGAAUCAAACUGCAAUUCCAAUUUGUGAUAUAUUUGAUCACAAAUUGUAGUUUUUCCUAUUCCUCCCAUGCCACAAAUGCCUAUGAUCCGAACAUCCGGUAAGUCAAGAUGCAACAAGGACUGAAUUCCUUCAAUAUUUUUUUCAAUGCCGAUGAUUCCUUGAUCAUAACUGAUGGAAUAACGAUUCAAUUUUCUCAAAAUAUCUCCCACAAUUCCUUCAACAAGUGUGUGUUCUGACCUGGCAGAUGAUUUAGAAAAUAAAGUAUAAGUAUUCAUGCACAAAAGCUAAAACAAAACUAAAGAAAAAUUCAGAGUCAAGAAGAGUGAACAUCAUUGAAUAGAUUCACAUAUUGAUUGUAGGACGUUAUCUUCGAAUAUUAGUGUGGUUGGUUUAGAAAUUGCAAAUCAAGAUCGCAGAAAUUCUACAGUAACCGGUAGUGACUUCUGAUACUAGGAAGCAGUCUUGUAGGUACAAAGUUAAGCUAUAAGAUGUGAUAUGGUUCAGAUCUAUGACCCACUACGAAAAAUGGAAAAAAGAAACACUUGAUUUAUGGUGAGAUGAACACAAUUUUAGUAAAUGAAAAGAGAUCCUGAUUAUCUAAUAAAUAUAAUGACCUGGUGACUUUUGAAUCCCAGCCUGAAAGUCCAGCAGCUUCGGUGAGAGCAUCCUUCCAUCCUUGCACUUUGUCGUGCUUAAAGUGCUGCUCAUGCUCAUCGAAUGCUUCUUUGUAUCUUUCUUCCUGCUUCCUAAUAGUUGACGGAUCCACCUUGUAGAAAACAGGUAUGACAUCCCUUCCAUAUCUCUUCUUGCAAUCAAGUAUCUUAGUGAGUUCAUUCAAGCACCAAGUGGAAGAUGCAUAGUUUUGGGAGAAAACGACGAUAUAAAUCUUCGAUUCUUCUAUUGCAGAGAGCAGUGCAGAUGAAAUUUCUUCGCCCCGGGGUAGUGUCUCAUCAAUAUAUGCUUCUAUGUUCUUCCUUUGCAGUGCUGGAUGAAGGUGGCUAAUGAAGUUGUCACGUGUGUCUUCCCCUCUGAAGCUGAGAAACACAUCAUGCUUUGUUAGAGAAGUGGACACGGGGAAUGAUGAAGAACUUCCUGUUUAAUUUCUUCGCCCCUGUUUAAUCUGUAAUCAAUAUAUGCUUCAAUGUUCUUCCUCUGCAGCGCUGCAUAAAGGUGACUAAUGAAGUUGUCACGUGUGUCUUCCCCUCUGAAGCUGAGAAACACAUCAUGCUUGGUUAGAGAAGCAGACAUGGCCAAUGAUGAAGGGUUUCAAUUUUCUCUGCAACUCUCAGAUCCCUUUGUUUGUAAGCAACUUGCAUAUAUUCUAUUUCUAUCACAAAUCAACUUUUGGAAAAGCCUUCAAUUCAAAAUAUGCUUCACAGCUUUAUAUUAACGUGCCUAGCUUUAUACCAUUCUUACGCAUUGGUAAAGAUUCUUCAAUAUCUUUACUCAAUUUGUUUCUUCAAUACCUUUUACACAUUCUUACGCAUUGGUAAAGAUUCUUCAAUAUCUUUACUCAAUUUGUUUCUUCAAUACCUUUUACAUAUAAAGAAUCGGAUUUGUUUAAUAUAUUUUAGAAAAUAACCAGUAAACAGAAAACUAGGUUAAUAUGACUAAAUGAAUAAAGAUAGUACUCAUAAAAAAUAUUUUAGAUUACAAGUGGUAUAACUAAAAUAAAAUAUUUUAUUUUUAAAAUAAAAUUUAUAAAUAAAUAAAAAAAUAUAAUUGUUUAGUUUUCGGUGUAAAACAAUAUUCAUUUUUAUAAAAAAAAAUCUUUUCUCUUUUAUUUUAUUUUUAUAUUUCUAAUUAGAGUAUUCUUGAGUUUGACAAUAGAAUCCUUUCUUUGGACUUUUGGAAUUAAAUAAAGAUGUUAAUUGAAAAAAAAAAUUGAAAUAGAAACUAAUUUAGAAACCAAAUUUCUUUUUAGUUUCUAAAAUGGUCUCUAAUUUAGUUACUAUUGCAACUAAUUGUUUUGGUUUCUAGAAAUUGGUUUCUAUUUCAUGAUUUUCUUGUAGUGUAUACUGAAGGUGUGCACCCCUAUGAAAUGUUUUUAUUUCUAGUUGAUGUGUGAUUUCCAAUAAUUAUAUAAAUUGAUUGUUAUAUGCAGUGUGAAGUUUAACCUUGAUUUUUACUUGAAAAAAUGGAUUUUAAUAUGAGGUAUGCAUGCUCUCAUACUCAAAUUCAAUAAGCGGAAUUUUCACAUGUCAAUAGAAUUUGAACCUGCAUAGUUUUGGGCACUCUCCACCUCAAAUUCGCUCAAUGUUUUUUCCUGCGUUUAAGCGAAAUUACAUGCAGAUUUUGGAGUACUUUCGGGCUUAAAAUUGCUCAAAGAAAUUUCCCUAUGGCAAGCAAAUUUAAGCUACAAUUGUUUGGGUGUUCUUUGCCUCAAAUUCGUUGCCUCAAAUUCGUUCAGCGAAGAUUUCUCUGGGCUUAAGCCCCAACUUCAUGGGCUCGAGCCAUUUUGACAACAUUUGUCAUCUUUGCUUAGAUAUCUUUUGGUUUGUUUUCUAUAGGUCAUGAAAUUGAAUUAAAUCUUUUGAAAUUUAACAUGUGUUUAAAAUAAGUAAAUCUAACAUUUAUAAUCAUGCAACAUGUGUUUAAUUUAUAAAAAAAAUAUAAAACAAAUACUCAUUAUAUAUUCAAUUGAUAUGUAAAAUUUUAAAUAUUAUGUGAUUAUUGUUGAUAUUUUGUAACGGUUUUAAAAAUAUAAACUUCUAUAUGAUUGAAUGAUAUAUUAUCGAUACAUAGUAAUUUCAAGUAAGGAAAUACUUUGUUAAGGAUAGUUAGGAUGUGUCUUGAUUAGUAAUACAUUUAGAAUAAGAUAUUUGACUCUAUUCACAUAUUAAGGUGGUGACAGUCAAAUGAGAUUUAUAUGAUUUGAUCUACAAUAUAAAAAAUCAUAAUCUAACAUGCCAUAUGAAUUAACCUUGUCAUAUUAGGUGAUUCUAUUAUGAUAUUCUUAUUCGCAUAGAUGUGUGAAUUUCACAAUGGGGUAUUAUAACAUGUGCAAAUUUUUUAGUCUAAAUCAAUGUACGAUUCUUUCAGAAAUAGGGUCAAGUGUACAUGUGGAUCUAAUUAGAUUUUUGACAUGAGUAAUAUGGAACACAAGUCAUUUAGAGACACUUAAUUGUUUAAUAUAUUAGGAAUGAAUGAAGUGUGAUUAUUCAUAUGAUUAUGAUUGAAUGAUUCAAAUAUAAAUUUUAAAAAUCAUUAACUUAGCCUAAUUUCUUGUUAGUAUCAUUUUUUUGUUAGUAUCGUUUUUUUUUUAGAUUUGUUAUGAUCGUGAGUUACAUGUGAACAUAUGAUGUUGUAUGUUAUAGGCCUCAAAAUUGAAAAUGAGAGAGUUUUUUCUUUUAAUUCUUUUGAUGUUUUAUUUUGAUGUAUAUAUUUGAUUAUGAUAUAAUAAUAUUACAAUGUAAAUGUUAUUUAUAUACUAUCACAUGGUAAAUUAAAAUUUAAUAAGGUAGUUAAGGAUGUUAUAAUUAUUCUUUUAAUUUAUUUUAUUUCACUGUAUAUUUAGGUGUAUUACGUAAAAUGUAUAGUUAAAAAAAAUAAUGUUAUUUUGAAAUUUAAGCUUUUGUUAAAAUUAUACCAUUUGAAAAGGAACACAGAACAAUCUUGACAAUUAUACUGACUUAGUACUUAUUUUAAUUUAUUAUAUUCAUGAGUAUUAUUUUUUUCUUAAACAUAAAUAUUGGAUAAAAAAUAUAAAUAACAUUUAUUUAUUUCAAAUUUAAAAAUCUUUAAAAUAAAUAUAAAUAAUAUUUUUAAUCAAGAUGUGUUUUUUAACAAUUUUUUUUAAUUUAAAAAUAAUUAAUUCGGACGAUGAUUAAAGAAAUAUUAACAAAUUAUUUCUGCGAUUAUAAUAAACCUUCAAUAAUUUUUGCACUUUCUAGCAUAUAGAAUAUGGAUCCUUUUGUGAUUUUUCUUUUCUAAAGUACAAUUGAUAUUUUAAAUGUUUUUCUAUUUAAUUUUCCUUUCUUAAUGCACAUAAAAAUUUCAGUGCACAAUUAUUACUCACCUUAAUUCAAAAUGGAAAUUAAAAUUCAAGAACCCUACUUAUAUAUUAAUAUUCAACGAUUUAAAAUAUUAGUAUGCAAAUUAAUCUUUCUUAAUAAUAUUUGUAACAAUUUUUAAUAAUUCAAUGUGAAAUAUGUAAUAAUUACUUUUCUAUGAUUCAGAGGGAAAAUUAUUCCAACUAGACUUUUACAAAUAUAUUUCAAGUGGUAAUAUGAUUUUAAACAAAAAUAGUAUUCUCCACAAAAAUAAAUAGUUACUGUUCCUAAUUAAACAAGUCACAUUCUUGAACAAAAUAUCAAAUAACAAGGAAUUAGACUAUGAAAUGAUGACCAAUUAUAUUAAACAACAUAACAUACAUUUCUCAAUGUACACAAGGUAUAAAUAAUACAAUAUCAUCCAAAACCUGUGUUCACUAUGUAAAUAAACCAUUUUUUUUGCCAUUACCUCUUUCAUGAUGAUGAUUUGUUUACUAGGGAUUGCAAUGAUAGGUCAUGAUCAAAACUUAGGCCUAAGACUAAAAAUAGAAUGAAAUGAGCAUGAAAAUAAAGAUAACUUUUGAGUGAGACACAUUCUUCCUUACAAGCAGCAAGUUCUUCCAGGUUAUCUUCUCUUCCUUCAACCGUAGCUGUGCAACCGCCUGUUGUUCAUUGCCACCAAUAUCUCUAGUGCCAAAACUAUGUUUUCCAAAAUUAGAGUUAUAUGGCUUUAUCUGUGAAGUCUUACCAGCCAUAAUGUUUUAUUUUACUGUUUUGUUGUAAUCAUGCCAAUAGAUAAAUCGUGGAUUUGUAAACCACGAAACACCAUUGAGUAUGCAAAUGGGUUGAAUGUGUUUUUGGAUAUUGCAUUUCAACAUGCUAAUGGUCCUGUAAUUAAGUGUCCAUGUGCAAAGUGUGGUUUCAAAAAGUGACAAACAAGGGAUGUAAUCCAAGAACACUUAACAUUUACAACUUUCCCUCAGAACUACAAAACUUGGUAUUUGCACGGUGAAAGACCAAGUGUAAUUGAGCCUAUGGUCACUACAAGUGUGCAUGUCAUUGAAGAUUUAUUUGAAUCUCAAAAUACAAUGGAAGACAUGUUGAAUGAUGCAUUCGAGUUUGCGGGACAUGAUGAGGAUACUGAAGUUGAUGGUUUGCAAACUAAUAUGGUGGGUGAUGAAGGAAUAUGAACUUUGAUGAAUUGAUGAGGGACAAUAAUGAACCCUUAUAUGAAGGUUGUACAAAGCAUUCGAAGUUAUCAUUCAUGUUGAAGUUGUACCAUAUCAAAUGCAUGAGUAGAAUGAGUGACAAAGCAAUGACCAUGAUUCUAGACUUGCUAAUGAACACAUUUGAACAUGCUAAGUUUCCUAACUUGUUUUAUGAGGCGAAGACUGUGAUUACCAAACUUGGACUUAAUUAUGUCAAAAUACCAGCUUGCCCAAAAGACUGAAUGCUAUAUUGGGGCGAAGACAAUGAAGGCUUAGAAGAAUGUAAACGGUUCAAAACGUCUAAGUGCAAAAAAAAAAAAAGAUAAGAAGCAAUUGCAUUACUUUCCAUUAAAACUGUGAUUGCAAAGAUUGUUUAUGAGUUCUAAGAUGAUUGAGUCUAUGACAAGGCAUGCAUCAAAGGAUAAUCAAGAUGGAUUGAUGAGGCAUCCUAGAGAUUCUGAGGCUUGCAAAUCAUUUUAUUGCAUCCAGAAUUUGUAAAUGACCAUUGAAAUGUACGAUUAGACUUAGCUGCUUAUGGCUUUAAUCCUUAUGAAAACAUGAGUAAAAACCAUAGUAUAUGACGAGUGGUUAUCAUCCCAACAAUCACCCUCCUUGGGAGUUAUGAAGCAAACAUCUUUUAUCCUCUACAUGAUAAUUUCUGGAAAACAAAUGGUAGAAAAUGACAUUGAUGUUUAUUUAAAACCACUUAUAAGCAAAUUGAAGGAGUUAAUAGUAUGAUCAUGUAAUUAUUAUUUAUAUACUAAAUAUUACGACAUAUAGUAAUUUAAAAUUUGAUAAGGUAGAUGAGGAUAUUAAAAUAUCUCUUUUAAUUUAUUUUAUUUUAUUGUAUAUUUAGGUGUAUUAUGUAAAAUAUAUAAUUAAAAAAAAUAAUGUUAUUUUAAAAUUUAAAGAAUCACGUAUAGAAAGAAACAUAUAACAAUCUUGACAAUUAUAUUCUGACUUAGAGAUACUUAUCUUAAUUUAUUAUAUUCAUGAGUAUUAUUUUUUUCUUAAACAUAGAUAUUGGAUAAAAAAUAUUAAUAAUAUUUAUUAUUUAAAUUUUAGAAAUAUUUAAAAUUAAAAUUAAAAUUAAAUAAUAUUUUUAAUUAAAAUAUGAAAAAAAUUCCUUAACAAUUUUUUUAAUUUCAAAAUAAUUAAUUCAGAGGAUGAUUGAAAAAAUAUUAACAAAUCAUUUCUGCGUUUAUAAUAAACCUUCAAUAAUAUUUGUACUUUCUAUCAUAUAGAAUACUUAAUGGAUCCUUUUGUGAUUUUUCUUUUCUAAAGUACAGUUGAUAUUUUAAAUGUUUUUCUAUUUAAUUUUCAUUUCUCAAUGACAAAUAAAAUGGUUCAGUGCACAAUUAAUUAUUCUCACCUUAGAUUUCAUUCAUCUCAUUCCAUUUCCACACUCAAAUCAUUCUCACAUUUUUUUCUACCUAUUUCACAAAGUUUUUGUUAAAAUAUGGAAAUUAAAGUUCAAGAACCCUACUUAUAUUUCAUAUUCAACAAUUUAAAAUAUUAAUAUGCAAAUUAAUAUUUCUUAAUAAUGUUAUUUUUAUGUAAAAAUUAAAAUGUAGUUUAGUCAUUCAUACUUAGAUGGAUAAAAAUGGUUUUAGAAAGAAAAAAAUAUGCAUUUUUUUGAAAGGUUAUCUAAACUCUAAACUCAUUGAUGAAUUAAUAAUAAUAAAUAAUAUGGAAUUCUAUACGAAUAGCAUAUAAAUGUUUUCUUGUUGAAACUGAUAAUUAAUUCAGUCUAGGGACAAUUAUCGCGGUAUUUGUUCUUUUAUUUUUAAUGUUUAAACAAUUAUAAAAUUCUGUUUUUAGAUAUUAAAAUGAUAGUUUUCAUUUACAGAUUAAAAUAUUACUUGUUUCUUUUAAGAUUUUUUGUAUUAUAAUUAUUUGUUGUCUGAAUUGUUUUGAUUUAACAUGUUGUUUUCUUGGGCUAUGAUAUUGUGAGGUUUUAUUACAUGCAGGUACGUGAAUAUUUUUUUUAUCCUAGUUGUAUAAAUCAGGAAAAUUGUUUUUCACAUUAUAAUAACCGUUUAACAACUCUAAAUAAUAAUAAAAUAUUAACUCAUAUUGUUUAAUUAAAGUAUAAAUUAAAUUAUUAAAUAAAAAAGUAGUAAAACUGGUUGCAGGAUGGGAAUAUGAUUAUUUUUAACUGCUAGCUCCUGAUUAUUCUUUUCUAAUAAAAAAAACACCAAUAGCAACAAAACAAGUUUUGACACACGUAGGUUUGGCAAUUGUUUUAAUAGCUGAAAAUAGUACAACAAUUUUUAAUUACCACAAACUGCAUCUUAAAUCAUAAAAAAUUAGCAUUUUGUUAGUUCAUAUAUAAUAAAAUUUCCAUAAAACAGCCAAUUGUAUUAAUUAUUAAUAAUGUAUUUACAAUUUUUUUAGAUAAUUUUUUUACUAUAAAGACAUUUAUUUGAGAUUGAAAUUGUAAUUAACACUUUUUGGUCAAAGAAUAAUAUAUUUCACUUGAUUUUUUGUAUUAAAUAUUUUGUAUAGCGCUGAGACAAAAAAAAAUCUCAUAUAAAUCCCUAUGUGCUACAAGUACAAUAUAACAUCCUUAAUGUAAGCAAUAAAAAUGAUGAAUACUCAAAGUCGUGUAAUUACGCAAAAGAAUCAAGUGAUUUUUAAAAGAACUCACAUGAUCAGUUUAAAUUUUGACGAUAAAAUACAUUAAUUAUAUAUAUUUAUUCAAAAUUUCAAUUAUAUUAUGCAUUAAUGGUUUUAUGCUUUUAGAGGAAUCAGAGAAACUUAGAAAAGCUCCUAAAAACUAAUGUAACCCUAUGAAUAGAAGAGAGCUAAAAGAAAGAGAAAAUGGAAGUGAGAAAAGAUGAUAAUUAAUAAACACGCUCUCUUCAUAACAUAGAGUCUUUAAACCUAUAUUCCCUCAAACAAUUAUAAAGAAUUAACAAUCACACUUUUAUAAGUCAUCACCCACAUGAAACAAAACAAGGUGCCUCAAUAUGAAUAAACCAAGAUUAAUAAGAAAUAUGAGGUUUCACUAACCAAGCUCAGAAUUUUCUGCUUUUAUAGCUCCAUGCACAAACCUAAUACAAUGAUAUGAUAUUCACUGCAAAUGCAACCCAAAUAUGCUAAAGAAGUUAAUGAAACCCAAAUAUAAAGAAUUUGAAGAGAAUGCAACUCUGGGACAACAGAGCACACCAUCUCAUGCUGAACAGAAACAUCAAACUAUAUCUAACAAUAACUAUACCUAUGUUUGCUUUGGGUCUGUUUUUAGUUUCAAUGUUACUCUUUAUCUGCAGGUUGGGAACAUAUCUUGAUGAAAUAUAGAAACAUUUUUAUUCAUAAUAUAUAUAAGGAUUACACAUUCAUAAUUAUUUCUUUCUGUCGUAGCAUUGUCUACCUCAAAUCACUGCAACUUUCUGUUGUUGGUAUUUGCAUAUCACGAUGGUUAUUGAGAAAUUUAGGAGUUUGCUGUUGUGUACCAGAAGUAAAAUAGAAGGUUCAUUUUUUGGUCAUCAUCAAUUAUUAAUGUAAAUAGAUAUAGGUGAAGGAGAUCAGUAUUAUGCAUUGUAUCAUGGACCAUUAGAAGACUAGGGUCACCAAUUGGAGGCAUUGGUAACUUUGGCUAGUAAAACUAAAACCAAAGUCCAUUUUUACAAAGCCUUGGUCUAAUUCACCUUAUAGCUGUACUUUUUCCUCCAUUUUAAUAAUAUUAAGUUUUCAUUUUCUAUGCAUAAUCUUGGGUAAUUUUCUUUUUAUAUCAAUGCUUGAAGUGUCAAAUUGUUACAAGCUGGAUUAUUAAGAAAGAAAAGAGUGCAUUCUGGAUGCUCGAAAGGGAGUGUUUCCUAGAAAAAAAAUGUGAUUUCAGGGUGUCCAGGCUCAGGUAGCAAUGGUAGGAGUUCCACAUUGAAAUGGAUGAACUACUUGAUUUAGUACUUUGGGACUCUCUCACCUAAUGGACUAGUAUUUUGGGUUAGCUUCUCUCCCCUUAAUGCUUAAGUCCUAAAAAACAGUUUUUCUGUUUCUAUUUAUCUUUUAGGGUGUGAUUAGGACCAUGAAGCAGUGGGUGUUUUUUCCAUUAAUGAACUUUGCCACUGCCACAGAUCACCUAGGUUAACCUAAUUAAGUCUUCUGAAUUGUAUUUUGUAAUUAAUUCUUGUAAAACAUGGAGUGUAAAAUUCAUGUACAUUUUUCUUUUCCUCUUUUGAUUUGGAUGUCAAACUAGCAACUUCAUGUUUUGUCUGGUUGGUCUAUCACAUUUAUGUAGGUUGUAAUCUAUUUUGCCUAAUGCAUCAGUUGCAGAUAGGUACUAAAUUAUCUUAGUUCGGAUACACCUUGCCAAUUAGAUUAAGAUCAAGAAUUUAAAGUGAAUGGUUCACUUCUGAGUUCUUAAAUGAGAUAAAAUGUUCAGAGAUACUAAAUCAUCGCCUUCAUUUGAAAAUUGGCGUGCCUAUUAUGCUUUUGAGAAAUAUUGAUCAAACCAACGGUCUUUGUAAUGGAACAAGGUUGCAAGUUAUUGAUUUGAAGAAAAUGUUAUUUGUGCAAUAGUUCUAACAGGAACAAAUAUUGGUGAUAAAAUCUUCAUUUCAAGAAUGAAUUUGAUCCCUUUAGAUGUAGGUAUGCCAUUCAAAUUCCAGAGAAGACAAUUUCCAAUAGCUUUAUGUUUUGCAAUGACAAUUAAGAAAAGCCAAGGUCAAUUAUUGACCAAAGUUGGUUUAUAUUUUUCACAUCCAAUUUUCACACAUCGAUAGUUGUAUGUAGCUAUUUAUAGAGUUCGAAAGAAAAAAGAUUUAAAAAUUCUAACUCUUGAUGAAGAUGGAAUGCAACAAACAAGAAAAAGAAAAUGUUUACACUGAAAUUUUUGACAAUAUUUGAAAACAAUAGAAUUAUAUGAUAAACUUGGAAUGGCUAAUUCUCCCUGCAACCAAUAUUUUUGAACCUGCAACUUUUAAAUUUUUGAAAAUGCUCUUUAUUCCAGAAAUGAAAAUAAUACAUUACAAAAAAAAUAGAUCCAAAAAAGAUUAUUGUGUUUUGGUAAUAAAAAUCGGAAAACAAAAAUCAAAAGCCCAUUAUGAAUAAGAAAAUUCGUAAUACAAAAAAUUUGGUCUUAAAAACAAAAUCUGAAAACAUAUUCCAGAAAGAAAAUCCGAAAUGUAUUUUUAUAUAUAACCCAUUUUUUCAAGGGAGUUUCGUCUUUUCUAUUGUAAAAGGGGUUGGAAUUUGCUCCCUUGGAAUUAUAGUUUCUUAUGUGUGAUGUAGUAACAGUUGCCUUAUUUAAAAUGUUACUAAAUAACAUAUAAUUUAUAUCUGUUAUUUUUAUUCUGUUAUGACUUUAUAUAUUUGUCACAACAUGAAUGAGGCACAAACCCAUCUCAUGUUAACGAAGUUGAGAAUUUUCUGAUUUUACAGGUCCAUGCAAAAAUCUAAUAUAAUGAUAUGAUAUUCAAUAUCAAGAGGUACUUGUCGUAAAACGGGGAAUAUGAGAGACUCCAUAGAAUGAAGAAAAAGUAUAAAGAGGAUUUACAAAUUAACCUUUCAAAUGCAGCUCCUCAGAAUUUCAUAAUGCCUUCACUGCAAAUGCAACCCAAAUAUGCUAAAGAAGUUAAUCAAACAAUACAUGAGGAGUUUCAAGAAAAUGCAACUCUGGAACAACAGAGCAACCCAUCUCAUGCUGAACAGAAACAUCAAACUAUAUCUAACUUAGAAAUCUUUGUCAACAAUUGAACGAACCCACUCCUUAAAUACCAUUGAAAAUGUAAAUAAAACAAAAUAAAUUAAAAACGAGAAAUUCAUAAUAAAAAUUAAACGUGUUGAACCCUGUAAUUUAGAAGUAUUAACGAUAAGGCAGUUUAGAUCCUCACCAAUGAAAGAGACUAGCUGACUAGGUAGCUUUCGGCCUUCCUCUUCCUAUCUUCCCUUGUUUCUCUUGAAGACUCUGCAAUAUUGCUUCCAUUGGAUUGUUCAAAGUCAACAGCACCACCAUAUUUAUCAUCUUUCUUUUUCGUAUAAAGAGGGCAUAUGCCGCAUUCCUUUAUUGUGAUACCUGAUUUCAACCGAAAGUGAUAAUCACACGGACUGAUAAGUGAAGCUGCGAGCAUCACAGAUUCUAAGGCUCAUGCCGCUCGCCCUUAGGAACUCCAAGUUAAAUUUCCACACGAAUGUGUGAUCUUGAUCAACACAUCUCUCUUCACCAUUCGAAAUAGCUGUUUAACACAUCUAUCAUCGCUGCAGAAACUUAAAUCUUCAUUUAUAGUCACUGAAUGUCCCUUCCCACGAAAAUGGAACCAACCAGGAACUGCAGUCCCUGGAAAACAGAAGAACACAGACCUAUAUCUAUCGUCGGUCAUCCUAAGCCUUGCAUCCUCCUCAAUGUUAGCACGACCACCUGAAUCCAGUUGCUGAGCAUUGGUGAAAUGAAAUUUGAAUACACCCUCUUUGGAAUUUGAGAGGUUUCGAACAAGAGAAUUUGGCAUCACUCUUCUAAUGGAUGGGCAAUCCAAUGCCACGAGUUGCUUUAGAAAUGGUGGAAUCUGUGGGAUGCAUUCAAGCUUUUUGCAGUCGCUUAAAUCAAGCGAUUUCAAGCUUGAAAGAUGAGCAAUGCUCUCAGGAAGGUUCACGAUUCCGCUAUCACGCAGUGAUAGUUCCAUUAAUAACGUCAAACGACCAAUGUGUCUUGGGAUUUCUGUUAAUUUGGAGCACCCCGAACAAUUUAGAGAGAAGCUUCAGAUUAACAAUGGAGUUUGAAAGUGACUCGAUAUCAGUGUAUUUCUGAAGCUCCAAGGAUCGAAGAUUAACGAAAUUGCAAAAUGAGGAAGGCAACUGCGCAAACUCAGUUGUUGAAGCCCUACCAAACGGCACAAGGAUGAAGGUAGUGCCUGUAUGGCUGUGGCGUCUAAGAUGAGCACCGCUAGAUCUUCCAACGUGUCCUGAAUCUGGGGUAAAUUUUCCAAUUUUGAGCAACCACGGAGAGAAAGUUGCUUUAGGAAUUUCAUAUCAGAAAGGUCAAAUGGAAAGAUUGUAAGGGAAGAACAGUAAGAGAGAUCUAAAUGACAGAGCUUCUUGCAACUAAAGUGUAAGGGCACACCUUUCAUGAAUUUUGUCAACACUUCUAAGUAUAUAGUAUUAUUAGCCACUUCUUCUUCUUCAUUAUAUCUGUCAAAAGUAAUUGAGGAAGUUGGGAAAAUAUGACCACUGUAUGCACGAGGUUCACCACGCCGUCCUGCACCAUGCCGUUCUGAGAAAUUUAUCUCUUUGAUCAUAUCCGGUUUCUGGCGAUGGAAUCUUGAGAAAGUUUGACGUUGACGCUCCACGCUCCAGUAUCACAUGAGGGAAUCUUGAGAAAUUUCCACGUUGAUGCCCCAGUUUCUGAUGUGGGUAUCUUGUGACGCUCCAGUUUCACAUGACGAAAUCUGGGUUCACUGGUUGAAAACAUAUUAAGCUUCCCACAACAGGAAAUAUUAAUCCAUCCUUGUAAUGUGGAUAAAAUGUUGCUGGGAAUAUUUAUACUAUUCAGAUCAUAACAAUUAUCUAAACAUAAAUAACUGAGCUUGCUGAGUAAUAUCGAAGAGUGAACUUUAAUCAACUUUCCACAAUAACUCAGAAUUAUUUCUUCAAUAUUUGGUAAGAGAGAAAAGUCUGGUAUUCUAGUAAGUUUCCGAGAACCACUCAGGUCAAGCCUUUUCAAGUUUGGUAAAUUCUGCCACAAAUAGUAAAUGAAUCAGGUAACAAAUAAAAACCACUGUUAAAAAAAUCACACUCUGAACUAACAAAACUGUGGCUAUUCACUAUCAACAAUCCCUCUCAAAUACACUUCUACUAAUACAUUAACAACAAUAUCAUUAUAUUAACCAUAAAAUAUUACAUUUCUUCAGUUAAUACGUAGGACAAUAUAAUAAUCAGGUCACUCAGCUAAUGAAAAAAAUUAAACAACAUGAACUCAAUUAAAUAAUAUAAAACUUUUGAGUACUAGAUAAAAUAAGAAAAUUAAUAAAAAUUCAAUUUGAAAAUAAUCAAAUUUAUAAGAUACUUAAAACUUAAUUAAACCUACAAAUUUUCAUUAUAUGGAGUUAAAUACUAUAAAUAUUUACCACAUAAGUAGAAUGUUUAAAUAUAUAUUUCUUCACGUUGGAAGUUUUUUUCCUCUAUCUUAUAAGUUUUCUUUGUUUCUUUAAUAUUUUUUAAGCCAAUGUGAUUUUUUUAAUAUAAAAUAUUAUUAAAGAUAAAAUAUGAAGAUAGGGUAAUUAAAUAUAAUUUUUUAUUUUUUAGAAAUGAUGAAAAUUAUAAUUAAAUUAACUAAAUUAUAUAAAAUUCUAUUUCAUUUACAUAACUACUUUUCAUAUUAAAAAAACUAUAUAAGAUCUUGAAACUAUAAUUAAUAUUUCUACUCAUUUUUCGUUUUUGUUGGUGAAAUCUUGAUUUUGGGAUAGUAUUAGUGAGAUAUUGUUUGGAGUUAAAAACAAGAAAUUCUUUUGCAUAAUCAAUUUGAACAGUUUUGAUUUUGAAACCAGAUUUUCAGAGAAGAGUUUAAAGCGUUCAAAUGCAGCAAGAGCUUGAGAUUUAGCAUGCUAGAGAUAAAUUCAUGUAUAUUUUAAAUAUGCAUUAGGAAAAGAGAUAUCGUAUGAUGCAACAUUAUUAGCACAAACAACAAACAGCAGAACGUCCCCAAAUAUCAAUAUAGAUAAAUUCUAAAAGGUGAUUAUCCACACUGUUUUAGAACAACUUUGAUUACAGAAAAACUAUAACGCCCAAGUCUAUUAUGCCACAAGUGAAAAGAAGUUUUUUCAUAUUUAAAAGAUGUGUAGUUAGCAGAAAAAACAGAGGAUCAGAGAUCAAGAAAGACAGAGAGAUCAUCUUUAAGUGUGCCUUGUAGAAGAAUCUGUUUAGUUACUUAGUCUUUAACAUAGCAAGAAUGAGGGUGAAAUUCAAAAAACACAUUGUUGUUACGAGCAAACUUUGAAACACUAAGCAAAUUCUUAGUAUAAUGAGAAACAUGUAAAAGAUCAAGGAGAGAGAAGGAAGUACAAGAGGUAGACGACACACAGGAAGCAGAACCAAUGUGGGAGAUUUUUAUACCUGCACCAUUACCAAGUUUAACGUUCGCAAUGCCAUGAUAGAUUUGUUGAUCAUUGAACAGAGUAUGGUCGUUUGUUAUAUGGUGAGAGACACCGCUAUCUGGGUACCAUAAUGGAUCUUCUAAAGAUGAUGGUGGACCAAGAAGAGAGUAAGAAGAGUCAUCACGUGGAGGUGGAGAGAAAUGAGAUGUGUUUGCAGAGGAGGAUGGUGGUGUAGUACGAUCAAACCAGUGCCAACAAUGAAGAGCAGUGUGUCCAAGUUUGGAGCAUAUUUGACAGCGAACAGGGUUGCGUUUCCAUGAUGAAGACGUAGUGGAGUUCCAAGAAGAGUAUUGGGAAGGUCGGGGUUUGCCGCGGUUGAACUGAUUCUAGUUAGAUGUGGGAUUGUAACCACGACCACCACAGGAGGAGUUGGAAAAGGGGAGGUGGAGAGAAAUGAGAUGUGUUUGCAGAGGAGGAUGGUGGUGUAGUACGAUCAAACCAGUGCCAACAACAAUGAAGAGCAGUGUGUCCAAGUUUGGAGCAUAUUUGAGAGCGAACAGGGUUGCGUUUCCAUGAUUACGACAGUAAUAAAUGUAUUAUAUUCUUCAGAUAGCCUUCAAGGAUGAUGUCAAUAUGAUCAGUGGAAACAGGGGCAUCAAUAGCGGCAAGCAUGUUGACGGCGUUCUUGAUAUCAUGGAGAUAGGAGGAGAUGGAUCUGUGAUGACCUGAUUUUGUUGUUGGUACCAUUAGAGACUUGGGGACUGUCAUCAGUGGUGGAAGAAGUGGUUCUUGAUGGAACACUAGUGUCGUCAAGAAAAUGACCCAGUUUGAGCCCGCAAAUGGAGGCAAGGACUUGAUGUUUCCAGAGAAGAUAGUUAUCUUCAUCUAGUUUAAGAGUGAUGGGUGUUGUGAACUGUUGAACGGAAGGCAUGACCAGAGGUAACGGGCAAGAAGAAGAUGCAAAAGAAGAUGAAGAGAUAUGAGUGCAGUGCAUUAGAAUAGAGAGAGAAAGGAGAAAGAUAUUAUCUUAGUAUAUGUGCUAAAGGUAUAUAAGGAGUGCAGAACUGGAAACACUUACAAAGUUGUCGUUACACAGUUAUAGUAUGGUUAACAAUGUAUAAUACAGAAAACAUGCUUGUGUACUUUAUUUUUAUCUUUGAAAGUUUAGAACACAGAGGAACAUAGAUAGCUAGAAAAACCUGAUCUCCUUCCCAGAGUUGUUCAAGAUGGCAGCCUGGCAUUUCCAGGGUCACAGUCUGGCAUUUCCAGGGUCACUAGAUUUUGUGGGCAAAAGUUUGGAGGCCAGAAUCUUUGAGGGAAACCGUUCCAAUAAAGAAACUUUAGAGUGUCUGGCAGACCUACAAGAGAUGAUUCAAGAGACACAUUUGAUAUGAAUAUAGGCAUGUAGACCAUAAGCAUCAUAAGAUUGUCCAUCUUUUCGAAACUUUGUGCAUGUACUACAGCAUCUUUUACUUUGUUCGUAUGUAGUAAUAUACACUGUAUUGCAUCUGACCCCUGAAAGUAAAUCAAUUUAAUUAGGAGAAAAAAAACAUGAAAUGUUGCAUUGCAGGAUGUUUAAUGACAUCUCAGUGGUUUGCAAUUUUUUACAAAGUAAAUCCAUUCUCAAUUGAGUAACGACAUAAUACCUUGUUCUUUCUUAAAACCUCUCAAAUUUCCUCAGCAUUAAACAAUCGGCUGCGUUUUCCAGGAUGCUGAGGACACUCUUUACGAACAAUUUCUUGACUCAUUUCUNNNNNNNNNNNNNNNNNNNNNNNNNNNNNNNNNNNNNNNNNNNNNNNNNNNNNNNNNNNNNNNNNNNNNNNNNNNNNNNNNNNNNNNNNNNNNNNNNNNNGAUCCAUCUUUUUCUGCUGCUACCAUGUCGAACUCCCUUCAAAUCAAUACAAUGUCUUCACCAUCAAUCAGCCAAGUGAUUAAUGUUAAACUCACACAAGAAAAUUAUUUAUUGUGGUCUGCUCAAAUCCUUCCCUAUUUACGUAGUCAGGGGCUGGUUGGGUUUGUGGAUGGAUCCAUGCCACCACCAAACCAAACGAUUACGGUUGAGUCAAGUGAAGAAACAGGGAGCCGCAAAAUCCUGAAUUCACAGUCUGGUACCCCCAGGACCAGCUGGUACUCAGUCUCAUCAACUCAUCGGUUACCGAGGAAGUUCUCAGCACGGUGGUCGGAAUCACCACUGCACGAGAAGCCUGGGAUAUGCUGGAGCGGCAAUUUGCCUCCACAUCUCGAGCACGAGCAAUGCAGAAUCAUAUGGAACUCUCCACGAUCCAAAAGAAGGACAUGACAAUUGCUGACUAUUUUCGUAAAGUAAAACGUCUCGGAGACACUCUGGCUGCCAUUGGCAAGCGAGUAGAGGAUGAAGAACUCAUCGCCUACAUGCUGCAAGGACUUGGUCUAGAUUAUGAUCCUCUUGUCACAAGCAUUACAACUAGAACAGAUGUUUACACUGUCAGCGAUGUGUAUGCUCAUAUGCUGAGCUACGAGAUGCGUCAUCUGCGUAAUGGUACUCUUGAGCAAUUUCCUUUUGCUAACAAUGUCAACAGCAUGUCUAAUCGAGGAGGAACUAAUGGACGUCGUGGUGGUCGUGGUCGUCAAUCAAAUGGUGGUCGAGGACAAACAUGGCACACUAGAAACAAUUCUGGACGUCAGCCAUCAAAGGCACAAAGUAACUCAGACAAAGUCUGUCAGAUUUGUGGUAAGCCAAACCAUGAUGCUUUGCAAUGUUGGCACAGAUUUGAUCAGGCAUAUUAAGCCGAAGACAAUCUUAAACAAGCAGUUGUGGCCACAAGUGGAUAUACUGGUGAUGCAAACUGGUACGUAGAUACUGGAGCCACAGAUCACAUCACCAACGAGUUAGAAAGACUUACCACCAACGAACAUUACAAUGGCACUGAUCAGAUUCAAGUUGCAAAUGGCUCAGGUUUUUCUAUCUCUCAUAUUGGGAACUCAUUAAUUUCUGGUUCAUCUAGAUCUCUUGUACUGAAACAUAUCCUAUAUGCUCCUAAAAUCAAUAAACAUCUGAUUUCAGUACAAAGACUAGCAUCUGAUAAUAAUGCCUUUGUGGAAUUUCACCCACACUGUUUUUUUGUUAAGGACCGAGCCACGAAGGAACUUCUGCUCACAAGUAGAUGUAAGAAUGGCCUCUACACUUUACCAAAUAACUCCAGCAAAGCAUUCCCGACAGCCAAACUUUCGAAAGAACAAUGGCAUAGAAGACUUGGGCAUCCUGCUUUCCCAGUCACAAUUAGAAUCUUGAAAAAUAAUAACUUAGCUCUAGAUACUAGAGUUUCUUCUUCCUUAAUUUGCCAUGCUUGUCAACUAGAAAAGCACAUCAAUUACCCUUUGUUUCUUCUCAACAUGUAUCUACAGCACCUCUUCAAUUGAUUCAUACUGAUGUAUGGGGUCCAGCCAUUGUCUUAGUGAAUAAUUCUAAAUAUUAUGUUUCAUUUGUUGAUGAUUUUAGCAGAUAUGUUUGGAUUUAUUUUUUGAAAUACAAGUCUGAUGUUGAGUCUGUGUUUCAUCAGUUUCAAAAACAUGUUGAAACCAUGCUAAACACCAAAAUUCGCUCUGUCCAGUCAGAUUGGGGGGGUGAAUACCAUCGUUUGCACCAAUAUUUCAAAACAACUGGAAUUGAGCAUCGUCUUUCUUGUCCUCACACACAUCAGCAAAAUGGGUUGGUAGAAAGAAAGCACAGACACAUUGUGGAAACUGGCCUUACUUUACUUGCCCAAGCUAACAUGCCUUUGUCCUAUUAGGAUGAAGCCUUCAAUACAGCUUGUUACCUUAUAAAUAGACUACCAUCUCGAAUCAUACAAGCAAGACACACCACUUCAUAAAUUAUUUGCAAAAAAUCCAGAUUACACCAUGCUUAAGGUGUUUGGCUGUGCUUGCUGGCCCAAUUUAAGGCCUUACAACACCAAGAAACUGAGUUUUCGAACCACUAAGUGUGUCUUCUUAGGCUAUAGUUCUUCUCAUAAGGGAUACAAGUGCUUAGAUAGAAGUACAAAACGAAUUUACAUCUCUAGAGAUGUAAUCUUUGAUGAAAAUGUGUUUCCUUUUGAAGAAUUAAAUUCUAAGUCAUCAAUCCAAACCAAAAAUUCACACCAGCCUGCUCUACUUCCAACCUUCGUUAAACCCGUUCCAUACACUGAAAAUGCUCUCACAAAUAUUGAACCAGUUGUUAAUGAUUCUCGUAUAAUUGAUGGUCAAUCUAAUGAUGUUGCUAAUAACAACUUGUCUGGUAUAAGCUUACAUCCUGCAGAUAAUACAAUAAGUCCAGAAAUUGUUGCAGAACAGGAAGCUGAGAACAGUCUGACCAAUUUCCAAGAACAGAUGUUCNNNNNNNNNNNNNNNNNNNNNNNNNNNNNNNNNNNNNNNNNNNNNNNNNNNNNNNNNNNNNNNNNNNNNNNNNNNNNNNNNNNNNNNNNNNNNNNNNNNNGAACAAGAUUGAAAAAUAACAUUGUCCAAGCAAAACAGUUCACUGAUGGUACUGUCAGAUAUUCAGAGACCUCAAGAAAGUUUACCGGUGCUGUCACUGUCAAAAAUCCGACCACAAUAAAUGUACUAAAAAAUGCUACUGAGACUGAUACAGUUACUGAACCUCAAAACCUGCAGGAAGCUCUACAAAGUCCAGGUUGGCAGGAAGCAAUGAAUAAUGAGCUCUCAGCAUUACAACACAAUGAGACUUGGGAUUUCGUUCCACCAAAACCUGGCAUAAAUCUCAUUGAUAGUCGAUGGGUGUAUAAAGUGAAAAGGAAAGCGGAUGAAUCAGUGGAGAGAUUGAAAGCAAGGUUGGUUGCUAAAGGGUUCAAGCAAAGAUUUGGCAUUGAUUACAUUGAUACCUUUAGCCCCGUGGUCAAGCCAUCAACAAUCAAAGUUAUUCUUUCACUAGCAGUAACCAAAGGCUGGAAUAUGAGACAAGUUGAUAUCCAAAAUGCAUUCUUGCAUGGAAUUUUGGAAGAGGAAGUGUACAUGCGACAACCAUCGGGAUUUCAAGACCCAUAUAAACCAAAGGAAUACAUAUGCAAACUCAAGAAAGCGCUUUAUGGCCUGAAACAGGCUCCAAAGGCUUGGCACUCAAGACUGACUGGAAAACUUAUGGAAUUAGGCUUUAGAGCUUCUGUAGCUGAUUCAUCUUUGUUUAUCCUCAAAAACAAAGAGGUAACCAUCUAUAUGCUCAUAUACGUUGAUGAUAUAAUUAUCGUGAGCUCCUCUGAUCAAGCCACCGAAAGGUUGAUUCAGAAGUUGAAAAUAGAUUUUGCUAUAAAAGACUUAGGUGGUCUUGAGUAUUUUCUGGGUAUUGAAGUCAAGAAGGCAAGAGAUGGCAUCACANNNNNNNNNNNNNNNNNNNNNNNNNNNNNNNNNNNNNNNNNNNNNNNNNNNNNNNNNNNNNNNNNNNNNNNNNNNNNNNNNNNNNNNNNNNNNNNNNNNNAAAUUAUUCAAAGAGCAGGGAACACUCUUGUCAAUUGAAGAACAAUUUAAAUACAGAAGUACUGUGGGAGCAUUGCAAUACUUGACAAUGACCAGGCCUGAUUUGGCAUUUGCUGUCAACAAGGUUUGCCAAUACCUUCAUACGCCUACUGAUGCUCAUUGGAGUGUUGUAAAGAGAAUCCUUCGUUAUGUCAAGGGCACAUUAGAUUUGGGAAUCAGAAUUCAGAAGUCUCCAACAAUGCUGCUGUCCGGAUUUUCUGAUGCUGAUUGGGCUGGUUGUCCUGAUGAUCGACGUUCAACUAGCGGCUUUGCUGUAUUUCUUGGAGCAAAUCUAAUUUCUUGGAGCUCUAGAAAACAAACCACAGUGUCCAGAUCGAGCACCGAAGCAGAAUACAAGGCCAUUGCGAAUCUGACAGCAGAAAUGAUUUGGAUAAAAUCAUUAUUGAAAGAGCUUGGUGUGUAUCAAUCAAAAGCUCCUCGACUCUGGUGUGACAAUCUAGGAGCUACAUACUUAACUUCAAAUCCAGUGUUUCAUGCAAGAACAAAACAUAUUGAAGUUGACUUCCAUUUUGUUCGAGAACAAGUGGCACGCAAAGCAAUGGAAGUUCAGUUUAUUUCAUCAAGUGAUCAAGUGGCUGAUAUCCUAACAAAACCACUGUCUAGAACUCUCUUUAUUACACAUUGUAACAAUCUCAACAUGUAUAAAACCUGUUGGGAUUGAAGGGGACUGUUAGAAUUAGUCAGUUAGAAGUGGAACACGUUUGUAGAAGUGGAACACGUUAGUUGGUUAGUUGCCUUAAGAAGCGGAUCAUGGAUCCAACCGUGUAUGCAAUCAGUUACCUUUCUUUAAUUAUAAAUACAAUACGUCCUCCACAUAGAGAGGUACAGUUAGCAAACUUUAUUAGAGCUGAAUCGGUAACAUCAUCAAGAAUGAGGAGAACCUUUGUCCGUUUGAGCCUUUCAUUGUAAUAUGGUGAAGAAGAGGAUUUCUCUUCCUUUAGAAGCUCAGACUGAUAUUUUGUUCUGAUACUGUCUAUUCCAUCUCUUUGUAUUUUUUCUUGAACGUCUAAAACAAGGCUGCUGGAAUCAAACUGCAAUGCCAAUUUGUGAUAUAUUUGAUUACAAAUUGUAGUUUUUCCUAUUCCUCCCAUGCCACAAAUUCCUAUGAUCCGAACAUCCGGUGACUCAAGAUGCAACAAGGACUGAAUUCCUUCAAUAUGUUUUUCAAUGCCGAUGAUUCCUUGAUCAUAACUGAUGGAAUAACGAUUCAAUUUUUUCAACAAGUGUGUGUUCUGUGCUGGCAGAUGAUUUAGAAAAUAAUGUAUAAGUAUUCAAGCACAAAAGCUAAACUAAAGAAAAAUUCUACAGCAUCCGUUUGUGACUUCUGAUACUAGGGAGAAGACUUGUAGGUACAAAGUUAAGCUAUAACAUGUAAUAUGGUUCAGAUCUAAGACCGACUAAUAGAAAUGAAAAAAGAAGCACUUGAUUUAGGGUGAGAUGAACACAAUUUUAGUAAAUGAAAAGAGAUCCUGAUUAUCUGGAAAGUGCGUGACCUGGUGACUUUUGAAUCCCAGCCUGCAAGUUCAGCAGCUUCGGUGAGAGCAUCCUUCCAUCCUUGCACUUUAUCGUGCUUAAAGUGCUGCUCAUGCUUUUCGAAUGCUUCUUUGUAUCUUUGUUCCUGCUUCCUAAUAGUUGAUGGAUCCACCUUGUAGAAAACAGGUAUGACAUCCCUUCCAAAUCUCUUCUUGCAUUCAAGUAUCUUAGUGAGUUCAUUCAAGCACCAAGUGGAAGAUGCAUAGUCUUGGGAGAAAACGAUGACAUAAAUCUUUGAAAAAUAAGUAUGAAAUCUAGAUAUAUAUCAUUAUCACGUGUGGAAGCUACGUCGUCUUGUAUUGGAUUUUCUAAUCUGCCUUUUAUCUUGUCUCAUUCUUCUUUAUCUUUUUUCUCUCAUCUCUCUUGCUUACGAUUUCUUUGCCUUUAUUCAGAAAUUUUAGUUAUAAUAAACCUUCAAUAAUAUUUGUACUUUCUAGCAUAUAGAAUACUUAAUGGAUCCUUUUCUGAUUUUUCUUUUCUAAAGUUCAAUUGAUUUUUUAAAUGUUUUUCUAUUUAAUUUUCCUUUCUUAAUGACACAUAAAAUGGUUCAGUGCACAAUUAAUUAUUCUCACCUUAGAUUUCAUUCAUCUCAUUCCAUUUCCACACUCAAAUCAUUCUCACAUUUGUUUCUACCUGUUUCACAAAGUUUUAGUUAAAAUAUGGAAAUUAAUGUUCAAGAACCCUACUUAAUAUUAAUAUUCAACAAUUUAAAAUAUUAAAAUGCAAAUUAAUCUUUCUUAAUAAUGUCAUUUUUAUGUAAAAAAUAAAAUGUAGUUUAGUCAUUUAUACUUAGAUGGAUAAAGAUGAUUUUAGAAAAAAAAAAUGCAUUUUAUUUCAAAGGUUAACUAAACUCUGAACUCAUUUAUGAAUUAAUAAUAAUAAAUAAUAUGUAAUUGUAUUCCAAUACCAUAUAAAUUUUUUUUAUUGGGUGCGUUUCUGAUGAAUUAAUGCACUCUAGGGACAAUGAUCGCUCUAGUAUUUGAUUUUUUAUUUAUUUUAAUGUUAAAAUUAUAGCUAUGUAGUACAGAUAUUACUGACACAGACAGACACGAACACGGACACAGAAAUACAUAAAAUCUCUAAAAUGUAGAAUACGGAGACAUUAAUCUAUAUAUUAUAUAAUUAUGAAUCAUAUAAAUUAACAAUAAAGAUUUAUGUGCACAAGUAUUUUUGAGAUUAUUUUUUAGAACAGAAAUAUGUUUUUCAUGACUAGUUCACAAAUAUUUGUUUCUUAUUCUUAUAAUCAUAAUAACAAUUUAUACCAUAAAGUUUCAAUUUUAGAAAAUUAAUGUAUUUUUUCUUUUUAAAAUUUCGUUAGAACUGUACUAGAAUUGUAAAAAAUCUAACAAAUACAUUUUGAAUUGGACAUUCCACGAAUACGUGUCCUACCAGUAUUUUGAACAACAUUCUUUCUUUUGGAACAAAGAGGGCAUAUGCCGCAGUCUUUUACUGUGAUAACUCAUUUCAACUCUCACACAACUGAUUCGUAAUCUGUGGGAUGCAUUAAAGCCUUUUGCAGUUAAAUCAAUAGUAUAUGAUGAUGUGAAUGUUAUUUAUAUACUAAAUAUAAUCACAUAGUAACUUCAAAUUUGAUAAGGUACAACAUGUUACCAUAUCUCUUUUAAUUUAUUUUAUUUCAUUAUAUAUUUAGGUGUAUUUAAUUUCUUUUAUUUCAUUGUGUAUUUAGGUGUAUUACGUAAAAUAUAUAAUUAAAAAGAAAGAAGAAUAAUGUUAUUUUGAAAUUUAAAGAAGACAUAUAGAAAUAAACAAGCUUUUGCUAAGAUUCCACCAUUGAAAAGGAACAUAGAACAAUCUUGACAAUUAUACUUUGACUUAUUUUAAUUUCUUAUAUUUAUGAGUAUUAUUUUUUCUUAAACAUAGAUAUUGGAUAAAAAAUACAAAUAACAUUUCUUUAUUUCAAAUUUAAAAAUAUUUUAAAUUAAAAUAAAAUAAUUUUUUAAUUAAGAUAUAACAAAAUAUUCUUUAACAAAUUAUUUUAAUUUCAAAAUAAUUAAUUCAGAGGACGAUUGAAAAAAUAUUAAAUAUUAUAAUAAAGCUUCAAUAAUAUUUGUACUUUCUAGCAUAUAGAAUACUUAAUGGAUCCUUUUAUGAAUUUUCUUUUCUAAAGUACAAUUGAUUUUUUAAAUGUUUUUCUAUUUAAUUUUUCUUUCUUGACACAAAAUGUUCAGUGCACAAUUAAUUACUCACCUUAGAUUUCGUUCUUCUCUUUCCAUUUCCACACUCAAAUCAUUUUCACCUUUUUUUUCUUCUUAUUUCACAAAACUUUAAUUAAAAUAUGGAAAAUAAAGUUCAAGAACCCUGCUUAUAUAUUAAUAUUCAAAAAUUUAAAAUAUUAAUAUGCAAAUGAAUAUUUCUUAAUAAUUUUAUUUUGAUGUAAAAAAUAAAAUGUAGUUUAGUCAUUCAUACUUAGAUGGAUAAAGAUGGUUUUAGAAAAAAAAAAAGAAUAUGCAUUUUAUUUGAAAGGUUAUCUAAACUCUGAACUCACUGAUGAAUUAAUAAUAAUAAAUAAUAUGGAAUUCUAUUCCAAUACCAUAUAGGAUGGAGAAAAGUAAGAAGAGGAUUUACACAUUACCCUUUCAAAUGGAGCUCCUCAGGAUUUCAUAAUGCCUUCACUGCAAAUGCAACCCAAAUAUGCUAAAAAAGUUAAUGAAACUAUAUAUGAAGAGUUAAUGAAACUAAAUGGCGUGUGCUGAAAUUUUUGAUCCGAUAACCAUGCCCACAUUCAAAAAGUGAAAGGUUACUUUGCUUUAUAUUCCUUUGGGUGGUGCUACUUUUCAACUUGACAACAAAUUCCCAUUAUUGUGUGGUUAUCAAUUACCAUUUAACUUAUUCUCAUACCACAUUCACUAUAUAAUAGUCCAUCAUAAACCCCAAAAUUUGCACAUUUUCUAUUUGCAAGACAUCCAACAGACAAAGAAAACAUGUGAAACUGUGUAAUAAUGUGAGAACGUAAGAACUUACUUCAUCAUGAAAUCAAGCCAUGCCUGAGGGUUUUUUCUGAGAGCAUUCACCACAGGUGCAUAUUCAUGUGGCUGUAUCCCAUACUCAGCUAGUAUUUCUGCUACCUCUGCCGCUUCUUUUUUUGUCAAAAAACACAUAUUCAUUAUUAAUGUGCAAUCAAAUGGUAACGAAACUAUGUAGUACAAACACACACUGAUACGACACUAGGACGAACAUACGUAUAAUGUUACUCCUUCUAUGGAAAUGAAGGAUAUUCAGCAAUAACUUUUAAAACUCAUUACAUAGAAAUUUGCAUCAAGUUAUCAAAGUCUAUAGGAAUGAAUUUUCAAUUCAUGGAAACACAGAUAACAAAAAGUAAUAGAAAAAUAGAAAAAAAGUUGUCAAAUGAUUCUAUAAAAAAUUAACCUAUCAUGAAAAUCAAGAUGAUAGAAAAUAAAAUAAUGUGGCAUGAACAUCAAAAUCGUAUAAAAGCAUAAUAGAAGAACAGUGGAUACCAGUUUCUGGCACGGCGAUGAUUUCUUCUUGCUCUCUUUUCAAUUCCCUCGAGUAAUUAUCGGCUUCACUUUUUGCUGCCAAAUAACUGCACAAUGAAAAUUAACAUGAAAUAAUAACGGAAUUUAAAUUGAGUUUUGUGAGUGUGAAGAGUGUGGUUGAACGUACCCGCCGAGGCCCAUGGAGAUGGCGCCGGCGGCGACUUCCGCUAUGCCAGCGGUGAGAACGAUGGAGGAGGUGACAUUGGCGCCGGAGAGGCCGGCGGCGAGGGCGAAGGGGACGGUGAGGCCGUCGGAAACGCCGAUGAUGAUGUCGCGGACUAUUUCGCCGGCGGUGAAGUGCUUCUCGGUGUGGUGGUUGAGAAGGUUCGUUCUCUCAGAAUCCACGCUUAUGCCGUGUUCGGUGGCGGCCAUUGGUGCAAGCUUGUGAAUGUGUUUGAGUUCGCCAACGUGCUCUGGGAAUCCAAACAAAGCCUUGCUGCUUUGCACAUAAAUUGAGCCUCUUUUGUGCUCAACUUACUCCUAAAUAGAACAAAAAUAUCUAACCGUUGAUGAUAUCCACGUGGAAAAUUAUCAAUGGAUAUCAAUAUCACAUUAUUUCUACACUAAUAUUUUAAUUAUUUUUAAAUAUUAUAACUAAAUCAAUCAAUAUAAUACCAAAUCUUCUUAAUUCUUUGGAUUAUAUAUAUUUUAUUUUAUUUUAUUUAUAAAGGAAGUUGUGAUAAAUGUUGUGUUUUGUGUGCACAUUAAUAAAAAUCAAAUAACCAAAAAAUAAUAAUCUUGUGAAAGAAAAAAUGGUAGAAUUUAUACUAUUCUACAAAAUUUUAAAAGUGGCUAAUGUGUUUUACUCAACUAUGUAAAUAAUUUUGGACUCUCUUGUUAAGGAAAUAAUGAAAUACAUUAAAUUUUGUUUUAUACUCUUACUUUAAGUUUUUUUGUGUUUCUCCUGACUUAAUUAAAUAUCAGAGAGUCGUCUUUUGCAGGUAGAUUUCAUUCUAUCAUAAUAUACCAACUGAAAACUUGUUUUCUGAAAAACACACGGCUCUCACCGAAUUGCACUUUCCAAUUUUUUUUAAUAGAAAUAAUAAUAAUUAAGUAUUUGUGUUCUUAUAUUUAAUUUUUAAUAAAAAAAUUAUUCUUAUGUACUUCUAAAUUGAUAUAUUUUACCAAUGUCUAUUAACAAUGGGAAGAAGUUUAUACCUAACAAAACUAUUUAACAUGAUUUGUUUGUAAAUUAUAGAAGUAUGUGUAGAAAGAUAUAAAAUUAAUGUUUUAAGAGAAAUUUAAGCAACUUUCAUAAUAUAUUGUAGAUUAUUAGUUGAAUUUAUGGAAAUUAAAAAUAAAUUGUAGGUCACCACACUUCCACUUUUUUUUAAUGAUAUCAAAUCACAACUUUACAAUUUUCACUAAUUUUUAACCAAUAACAAAAGAACAUCUUAGAAGAAGUGUGUUUAAGAAUUUGAUGUUAACUCUCAUUGUUUUUUAAACUUAAAUCCAGCUUUAUUCUUCAACUUUUAAUUUUUAUACAUAUUUAAUUGUAUAUAUAGUUUUUAACUCUCUAAAAUCAAACAAUUUUAAUUCAUUAAAUAGGCAAUGUCAUGAGUGUUAAACUUUUAACAUUUUUCUAGUAAUUAAAUUACUUAUGAAGAUUCAACUAAUUCAAAAUUUAAUAUUUUUACAAUUUUUAUUAUAAUAUUCUUAAAAUAUAUUUUAAUAUUUUGUUUUUCAUGUUUGAAAUAUAAAUGUUUUAAAAAAUCAUUUUAAAUUAUUUUGUUUCUCAUCUUAUGUAAUAAAUUACUAUAAUAAUUACUAAAACAUUUAAUACCUAUACAUUUUUAAUGAGCAAAAACUAAUAAUGAAUUAUAACAAAUAAAAAACGUUUCUGGGCAACAAAAUAGUAAUUAAUAUGAAUUAUAACAAAUAAUGAACGUUUUGUGGUAAUUUGUUUCACUUUCAAAUAAGUUAGUACUUCGCCUGUUAUUUCAUAACGGUAGUUUUUUUAAAUAUAUUAAGAAAAAUGUUUAUUUUUUUAUUUUUAAUGCACUUUUAAGUAACUUGCCUAUUAUAUUAUAUUAUAUGGGUAUUAUAUAUAUAUAGGUAAGCACCAAAAAAUAAAUUUAAGGUAAAAGUGAUAUAAUUAAAAUAAAAUAAAUUAUUAUUAAAUAGAAAAUAUAUAUAAUUAAAAAAAUCAGUUAUUUAAGUUUUAUUUUAAAAUAAUUUUUGUAAAAAAAUUUUCUUUUUUUCCUUGUUCACGAUUUUAAAUUUUAUAUUCACUUGGUAGACAUGUUUUGCAUGUGGUGUUUGGGACUUAAAAGAAUAAUAUAUGUUAGUUCAAGAUCCUAAUGAUGUGUUUUUAAGAAGUUGGACUAUCUUUGUUUUUUUAAGAAGUUGAAGUCUUUUUAUGAAUACUUAUCUUUUUAAACAGGUAAGAUAAACUAGUUUUAUCUGUAAAACUUAAGUUAGAAUAUCUGAAUAUGAAAUGUGAUUCUUCAUAUGAUUAUGAUUGAAUGAUUCAAAAUUCAAGUAUAAAGUUUUAAGAAUCAUUAACUUAUGUUUUUUUUUUUGUGCUAUUUUUUUGAUUUUUUGCAAUGAUUGUGUGUUGCAUGUGAGCAAAUGAUGUUACAAGUUGUAAACCUAAAAAAAAAUCAUGAAAUUUUGUCUUUUUUAUUCUUUUGAUAUUUUAUCUUAAUGAUAUAUAUAUAUAUAUAUAUAUAUAUAUAUAUAUUUAAAAAUCUCUAUAUGAAAGGAUAGUAUUUUAUGAUAUAAUAAUAUGAUAAUGUAAAUGUUAUUUAUAUAAUAAAUAUCAUGAGAUAAUUUAAAUUUUGAUAAGAUAAAUGAAGAUGUUACAAUAUCUCUUUUAAUUUUUUUUUAUUUCAUUAUAUAUUUAGGCGUAUUUAAUUUCUUUUAUUUCAUUGUAUAUUUAGGUGUAUUACGUAAAAUAUAUAAUUAAAAAGAAAAAAUAAUGUUAUUUUGAAAUUUAAAGAAUGACGUAUAGAAAGAAACAAGCUUUUGUUAAAAUUCCACCAUUGAAAAGGAACAUAGAACAACACUCUUGACAAUUAUACUUUGACUUAGAUACUUAUUUUAAUUUAUUAUAUUCAUGAGUAUUAUUUUUUCUUAAACAUAGAUAUUGGAUAAAAAUUAAUAAAAUUUAUUUAUUUCAAAUUUAAAAAUAUUUAAAAUUAAAAUAAAAUAAUAUUUUUAAUUAAGAUAUAAAAAAAUAUUCUUUACAAAUUUUUUUAAUUUCAAAAUAAUUAAUUCAGAGGAUGAUUGAAAAAAUAUUAACAAUCUAUUUAUGCGUUUAUAGUAAACCUUCAAUAAUAUUUGUACUUUCUAGCAUAUAGAAUACUUACUGGAUUUCUUACUCUUUCUUUCUACACCUCUAUCCAUACUAAAUAUAAAAAUACCAUUUUAUUCUUUUUUCUCCACCCCUUGAAUUUGAAAUAAUAAGCCCAUGGAUUAUGUAAUCUGGAUAUAUUCCGGAUUAGUCAAUUUCAUAUUUAGAAAAGACUUUCGGAUUAUGUAAUCCAGAAGCUAAUAAAACAUCUGAAAAAAAGGCUUCCGGAUUACAUAAUCCGGAAGCUAAUCUUAUGUAUAGAAAAGACUUUCGCAUUAUGUAUUCCGGAAGCUAAUCACAAAAGACUUCUGGAUUACAUAAUCCAAACGCUAAUUCUAAAUCUAGAAAAAAGACUUCCGGAUUAUGUAAUCCGGAAUAUUAAAAAAGAUAUUUUUGAAAUACGAAAAAUUUAUGGGGGUGACACAAGAAGGUAUGGAGGUGCAGGAAGAAACAGCCUGGAUUCCUUUUGUGAUUUUUCUUUUCUAAAGUACAAUUGAUAUUUUAAAUGUUUUUCUAUUUAAUUUGUCUUUCUUAAAUGACACAUAAAAUGUUCAGUGCACAAUUAACUACUCACCUUAGAUUUCGUUCUUCUUUUUCCACUUCCACACUAAAAUCAUUUUCACAUUUUUUUUACCUAUUUCACAAAAAUUUAAUUCAAAAAUGGAAAUUAAAGUUCAAGAACCCUACUUAUAUAUUAACAUUCAACAAUUUAAAAUAUUAAUAUUCAAAUUAAUCUUUCUUAAUGUUAUGAAAAAUUUAAAAUGUAGUUUAGUCAUUCUUGGAUGGAAAAAGAUGGUUUUAGAAGAAAAAAAUGCAUUUUAUUUGAAAGGUUAUCUAAACUCUAAACUCAUUGAUGAAUUAAUAAUAAUAAAUAAUAUGGAAUUCUAUUGGAAUAGCAUAUAAAUGUUUUGUUGUUGAAACUGAUAAUUGGGUGCGUUUCUGAUGAAAUUAAUUAAUGCAGUCUAGGGACAAUUAUCGCUCUAGUAUUUCAUUUUUUUAUUUUUAACGUUGAAAUUAUAAUUAUACAAUUCCGUUUUUAGAUAUUAAAAUGAUAGUUUUCAUUUACAGAUUAAAAUAUUACUUGUUUCUUUUAAGAUUUUUUUGGUAUUAUAAUUAUUUGUUAGCUGAAUUGUUUUGCGUUAACAUGUUGUUUUCUUGGGCUAUGAUGUAAGCAAUAUAAAUGUUAUUUUUAAUGUAAGCAAUAAAAAUUAUGAGUAUUCAAAGUCGUGUAAUUACUUAAAAGAAUCAAGUGAUUUUUAAAAGAACUCACACGAUCAGUUUUAAUUUUGACGAUAAAAUAUAUUAGUUAUAUAUAUUUAUUCAAAAUUUCAAUUAUACUAUGCAUUUAUGGUUUUAUGCUUUUAGAGGAAUCAGUAACUUAGAAAAGCUCCCAAAAACUAAUGAAAUCCCAUGAAUGAAGAAGGAGAACAAAUGGAAGUGAAAAAUCAGUAAGAUGAUAAUUAAUAAACACCCUCUCUUAAUAACAUAACAUAGGAGUCUUUAAACUUAUAUUCUUCAAACAAUUAUAAGCUGUCUUCAACUUUACUGUUAAACUACAAUUAUAAAGAAUUAACAAUCUCACACACCAACAACAUUUAUAAGUCAUCACUCACAUGCAACAAGGUGUGCCUCAAUGUGAAAAAACCAAGAUCAAUAAGAAAUGAGGUUCCACUUAACCAAGCUGAGAAUUGUCUGGUUUUCCAGCUCCAUGCACAAACCUAAUACAAUGAUAUGAUAUUCAAUACCAAGAGGUACCUUGUCGUAAAACUGAGAAUAUGAGGUUGCAUAGGAUGGAGAAAAGUAAGAAGAGGAUUUACCAAUUACCCUUUCAAAUGCAGCUCCUCAAGAUUUCAUAAUCCCUUCACUGCAAAUGCAACCCAAAUAUGUUAAAGAAGUUAAUGAAACCGAAAUAUGAAGAGUUUCAAAAUAAAAAUUUAACAUGUUGAAACUUGUAAUUUAGAAGUAUUGACUAUAAGGCAGUUUAGAUCCUGACCAAUGAAAGACUAAUAAGCAGAAGAGGAAGAGACUAGUUGACUGGCUAGCUUUCGGCCUUCCACUUCCUAUCUUCCCUUGUUUCUCUUGAAGACUGUGCAACAUUGCUUCCACUGGAUUCUUCAAUCUCAACAGCACCACCAUAUUCAUCAUCUUUCUUUUUCGUAUAAAGAGGGCAUAUGCCGCAUUCUUUUAUUGUGAUAACUGAUUUCAACUCUCUCACAACUGAUUCGUAAUCUGGCCACCCAAAGUCAUAAUCACACGGACUGAUCUCAAAAGUGAAGCUGCGAGCAUCACAUAGCCUGAGGCUCAUGCCGCUCGCCCUUAGGGACUCCAAGUUAAAUUUCCACACGAAUGUGUGAUCUUUAUCAACACAUCUCUCUUCACCAUUCCAUUUGAAAUAGCUGUUUAACACAUCAUUAUUUGGAAUGAUCUGUGUGCCAUCAUCAUCAGAUUCAAAUGUUAGGCUGUAACUAAAAGAACCAUAUCUACCAUUCAUAGCAUACGUAUCUAACACUCCAAAAACCACACUCAAAGCGAAACCAGUGAGCCUAUCAUCGCUGCAGAAACUUAAAUCUUCAUUUAUAGUCACUGAAUGUCCCUUCCCACGAAAAUUGAACCAACCAGGAACUGCACUCCCUGGAAAACAGAAGAACACACACCUAUAUGCAUCGUCGGUCAUCCUAAGCCUUGCAUCCUCCUCAAUGUUAGCACGACCACCUGAAUCCAGUUGUUGAGCAUUGGUGAAAUGAAAUUUAAAUACACCCUCUUCGGAAUUUGAGAGGUUUCGAACAAGAGAAUUUGGCAUCACUCUUCUAAUGGAUGGGCAAUCCAAUGCCACGAGUUGUUUCAGAAAUGGUGGAAUCUGUGGGAUGCAUUCAAGCUUUUUGCAGUCGCUUAAAUCAAGCGAUUUCAAACUUGAAAGAUGAGCAAUGCUCCCAGGAAGGUUCACGAUUCCGCUAUUACGCAGUGAAAGUUUCAUUAAUGACGUCAAACGACCAAUGUGUCUAGGGAUUUCUGUUAAUUUGGGGCACCCCGAACAAUCAAGUUUAGAGAGAAGCUUCAGAUUAACAAUGCAGUUUGGAAGUGAGUCGAGAUCAGUGCAUUUGUGGAGCUCCAGGGAUCGAAGAUUAACCAAAUUGCCAAAUGAGGAAGGCAAUUCUUUAACAGCCGUAGAUGUUAAGUUAAUGUGAGCAAAAGUAUGAGCCGGCUCCGUGAUCUCUGGGAAGGACCUCAGCCUUGAGCAACCACCUAAAUCAAACUUCCUCAAUUUCAAAUUGAAAAUGGUGCUUGGAAAAGUUUGAAGUGAAUUACAGUGGGUAAGGUCUAACUUGCAUAGUCUGGUGAGGGUUCCAAUGGAAGAUGGAAUAAUCUGAAGAUUGAAGCAACUGCGCAAACUCAGUUGUUGAAGCCCUACCAAACGGCACAAGGAUGAAGGUAGUGCCUGUAUGGCUGUGUCGUCUAAGAUGAGCACCGCUAGAUCUUCCAACGUGUCCUGAAUCUGGGGUAAAUAUUCCAAUUUUGAGCAACCACGGAGAGAAAGUUGCUUUAGGAAUUUCAUAUCAGAAAGGUCAAACGGAAAGAUUGUAAGGGAAGAACAGUCAGAGAGAUCUAAGUAACAGAGGUUCUUGAGACUUUGAAAGUUCAAGGGCACACCUCCUCUGAGAUUUGCCGACACUUCAAAUUGUAAGUAUAGAGUAUUAUUAGCCACUUCUUCAUUAUAUCUGUCAAAAGUAAUUGAGAAAAUUUCACUGGAACUUCGGAAAAUAUGAACACCGGAUGCACAUUGCGCUUCAACUAUCAUAUUUCCACGUUUAUGCCGCAGUUUCAUAUGAGGGAAUCUGGGUUCACUGGUUGAAAACAUAUUAAGCUUCCGACAACAGGAAAGAAUAAUCAAUCCUGGUAAUGUGGAUAAAAUGUUGUUGGGAAUAUUUACACUAUUCAGAUCAUAACAAUGAUCUAAACAUAAACAACUGAGCUUGCUGAGGAAUAUCGAAGAGUGAACUUCAAUCAACUUUGAACAAUAACUCAGCUUUAUUUCUUCAAUAUUUGGUGACGUAGAAAGGUCUGGUAUUCUAGUAAGGUUCGAAGAAUGACUCAGGUUGAGCCUUUUCAACUUGGGUAAAUUCUGCCACAAAAUGUAAAUGAAUCAGGUAACACAAAAACUAAAUUAAAGUUUUAGGCAAUUUUAUCUAUUUUUCUUCGGUAAACAAUAGAUGACAAUGUCGAAAUACUUUAUAUUAUGCAUGUAUCAACUGACAAAAUAAAACGAUGUUUUCUGAGAGUUAAAAUUAAACCUUAUUUAAAAUAAGUCCAUCUUUCCAUAUUUUAUAAUUUGUUGUAUAUUAUAUUGAAGUUUAUGUUAUAAUAAAAAAAAUGACUUAAUUAAUCAAAUAAUGUGGAGAAGGCACAAAGGAAUUGCAAAUGAAAACUUGUAUAUGUAUAAUACAGAAAACAUGCUUGUAUAAUUUAUUUUUAUCUUUGAAAGUUUAGAACACAAAGGAACAUAGAUAGCUUGAAAAACCUG
rnacentral:lncRNA from 1 species